GUUACAGGUGUGCUUGUUCAAUUAUAUAGAAAAAAUGUCUGUACCAGAAGUAACAUACGGAAUUUUUUAUACCUAUAAAGCUGCUAUAGAAUAAUAUGUAUUUGUAUAUUACUUUUUCUAACUCCACAUAAACAUACUCUCCAGAAUUAGUUUUAGAAAUAAUGUGACUAUGCUCAAGAACCAUGCAUACAAGAUAAUCUAGCAGUAGCAUGUGAAAUUCUCAUUAUAGUAGUAGUUCGACCAUAAUGAUUCUUUCUGUUUUGUGCUAGUAUACAUCAAAGCUGAAAUGUACAUCAAGGGCUAACUACAACUUGAUGAAAUGUACUUCAAGAGGUAACUAUGAUAUAUGACAAAGAAAAAUCUACCGUACAAAUAGUAAAGGCAUUGGAUAUCUUUUAUUCUAGAUGCUUCUUAUCUACAGAGAGUAAGGAUUUAGGAUGUUCAUUCUUUUCAGAAAAAGCUGUUGUUACCAGAAAAAAAUGUACACAGUGAGCACGUGAUUUUAGCUUACAUUCUGUAGGCUUAGGAAUAUAUUUCGCAAGCCGAUACUACCUUUCCAUUGACGAACCAUGUUGGAAACCUUCAAGACCAGAAGCGGCACAUUCUGCAGUCCUUUACUUUCCAUUACCAACUCAAUUUGGGAAAUAUUCCACAUAGUCUAGAAUUUUUGUAGCUUCACCACCAAACAUAUAAACAUCUGGUUAGAUUGAAAAGUGGUUCUGACCUUUUUGUGUUGUACUUCCAAUAUCUUCAGAAACUCUCCUAGUUGCUCGGAACUACCAAAAUACAGUAUAUGGUAGUAGAAUUCAGUUGAUAUGUUAUCACAUAACAUAUGGAGAAAAAAUACAUGUCAGUUUAUUAUAAAGCACCUCUCCUCCAAACGGAUAGUUCGCACUGGUAGAAAUUUUAGAAGGAAAAACAACGCGGAGCAGACGGAGAGCAAGAGCGCUCUGCCCACCUGUGCCAGUCCAAAGAAACCAACAAAAUCAGCAGGUCUUUGUGAGUCCCAUGGGUAAUGAGAAGUGGUAAGCACGAGGCAGCGAUCGGUUGAUCUGACCCAAGUUGAUGCUUCUGUUGAUUGCGCCUAAGAACUUGGAGCCACCGAGAGAGAACAUGUUGGACUUCAAAAGCGGCUCGUUGGCACUGGACGAGUACAUGAUUCCAGCUCCGAAGUGAGGGCUCUGCAACGUGGUUUGUUAGCCCCGCUCCCGGAAGAAGAUUUGACAGCAUUUGUUUAAGCGGCAUAACAUUUAAGGGGAUACACGUCCUUGCCUGCUCCGGCAGAGCUAGACGACGACGUUGUCGGGCAGGCUCUCCCAGCAGUCUCACACACGAUGCCAUACAAUGAGCAGAAUGUAAUGUCUAGCUCCUCGAGCUGAGGGAAGCAAUUAACUGCCUCUACAAAACCUUGAUUAGUGAUGUAAUGGCACAGGCAGAGAUGGAGGCUCUUCAAUGAGGGGGCCCUGCAUCAGAGUUGGUAAAUCUGGAUGAGCUUGUUUUUAGUCAAUCCAAAUAAUCAGGUCUCAGACCCAAGCUGAUUUCUAAGAUCAUAACAUGCAGCAUAAAAAAUUGUGCUACAAAAGUUGCCAAAAAUGGUUACAAGCCAGUUCUUAAAUCAAUCAAUAAUAACAUACCGAAAACUAUCUAAAACCUAUUUAGAAGGCAAAAUUCAACACGCAUACUGUCUUAGGUGACACUGUACAGUUAGUCUAUGUAUGCCAUCUUGCUAAAGGAUUGCGAGGAUAACGAACCACACUAAAACACCACUAACAGAGGUAAGCAUUAUCUCAGCAUAAAUGAGAAAUCAAACUUGCUAAAGUUGGUAACUGUUGUAAACCAAAAGCCGAUGCAGCAGCACAAACAGAUGAUAGGUUUGUCAGUUCAAUUUGUGGAACAUGAAGCAAACAGUUGCACCCAGUAAACACUAAACAAACAAAAAAGAUCAGUUCUGACUACGAAGUCAUUUACAGGCAUUGGGUUACACCAACACUAAACGACACGAGUAAUUUCAAGUAGAAGAAAGAAAGUAACCACUGAUGAUAGUAAAAAUUUGGCAGCAGACAACUCAAUUACACGAUGAUCUUUUCCUUUGACGGUGUGGAGGACGCGGAGAGGUGCGAGGUGCCGAGGAUCCACACGUCCUCGAGCUCCAUGAAGUUUAGCGGCCACCACGCCGGGACAGGGCCAAACUGCCGCCACCACGCCGGGACAGGGCCAAACUGCCGCCACGAUACGCGUACAAGCGCACCGGACUCGACCAGACCCGCCAGCGAGGGGUUCCCUGCGGCGGCGGCGGCACCCCAACCAACUCGUAGAUUCUAAUCGUCUGCAACAAUCAAACGCAAAAAUACGUAUACCACCAUAGAAAAUAAGCUUGAGCUAAUACCUCUGGAGAAAGCCCUUCUGGAGUCAGCCCCUUCUGUGAGCUCCAAAUCCAAAUCGCUGGAGUCGGCUUUGAAGUCCUCAUCGUCUUACGCAGCGAACGAGCGUCUGCCGCCCCUCUUGAACUUCUUCUUCGGCUGCUAGAUGUCCCACUCCAUGAGCCGGCGCGGCGCUGGCUCGCGAAGGUCGGCAAGGAUCGCGUCGCCGCACAGCACGAAGCGGGGUUGCGGGGUGGGGACUCCAUGGAGCGUCCACACCAUGCAGAUCGGUCUUCCAGGGAGAUAUUGGGAGCGGCAGAUCGGGGGGAGGGGGAGUAAAUCGCGCAUACGUACAGAGACUCCAUGGAUGGCGUCCACGCGAUGCAGAGAUUGGGAGCGACAAAUCGAAUACUUCCAUGGAGGUGAGACAGAUCGGGGGGAGUGGAUUGCGCGGACGUCAUUGCUAGAAGUGGAGAUCACGGCGAGGAGAGGCGGGUCCACGUGCGGGCGAGGGGGGAGGGACGGGCGAGAUUUCUGCGGCGGGACGACAGUCGGGGAAGAUGGGGCGACGCGAUGUGCGGGAGCGGGGGCACGACAAGUGUGGACGCCCUCCUUGCUGUCUUAUAGAGUAGUAAUAGAUUCAAGCCAAUGAUGUUUAUGAAACCAAACGAAAUUGAAUUGACGAUAUCUCUUUCCUAUUUUUCUUUUUGGAAAUUCAUGUGCAUAUGGUUGGAAUGGACCUUUAAGAAUAUAUAAUCUACGAAUUGCAUCUUGAUCAUUAAUAGGGUAACUUUGGAUGGGCAUUCUUUCACCUGGAUCAUGUGGAAGGCGAUUGAUAUCAUAAACCGGUGUUGGCUGCGGCGAGACAUCAUCAGUUGGAAUUGAUGGCGGAUAAGAUGGUAUAGGGUUCAUAAUUUCUUCAGUAACUCUCUCCUGCACUUGAGGUUCAUCUUCCACCAUAGUUGCAGCUGGAGACGAUGAAACAACAACCUUCUUUGAUGAAUAUUUCUGAAAAAGAGAUGCGAUGUCUCCAUUCCUCUUCAUAAUUCAAUAAUUCUACAAAACAAAAUAGGCGAUGCAUUAACAUUCAGUGAAAUACUCUAUAUGCUAGAAUAAUUUAGGAGCUAUUUUUGUUUCCGAAGUAUGGCUGCAAUAAAAAUGCAGCAGAUAGCCGUAACCUGAUUUUGAGUGGCCAUUGCUGAUCAGAGGAUGAAUUGGGGUUACCUUUUAUUUCUAUGAGGUAUGCGUGUAAUCACUAAUCAGUCUGCAUCUGAAGGGGGCAAAACUGCAAAAAUGCAAUCCAUAUUAAUUAUUUAAUUUGCAAUUUGAUGAAUGAGUAUCAAAACUUACGGACCUCUGGAAUUCUUGAUUACUAAUAGGUCUGGACAUCAGCCAUCAGGAAUUCAGAUUUCAGAAUCAGCCAAUCAGGCGAGAGAAAACAAAAGAGGAAUAGAGGAUCGCUAUGCUGUAGUGUUGUACGCCUGUUAGCCUAUACGCAGUACGCUCGUCUCGUUGCCUUGUUGCGGUGCCGGUGCGGCGCUGCUCGGCUCCGGGCUCCGGCUGACCGCUGACGGACGGAGUGACGGCUGUCGGCGCGUCGCUGUGUCUACCAAGCACUCAAGCAGACUGCAGACUACCACCUGCAGACGCCAAGGGCCAGACAGAGAUGCAGAUCGCUGAUCGGCAAUCGCAGCACGUUGCAGUCGCAGCGCCGAAGGAGGAACGGCGGAAGCGGAACAGACGAAGAGUCAUCGUCGUAUUUAUGUAUUCUACUGGUUUAUUGGGCUGCAAAUGGAACUAUAUGUAUAAGUGGGCUAGAUUCUACAGGGUAUGCCACGGCCUACCUGGCAUACCCUGUAGGUCCGCCACUGCAUUUGGUGAUCUAAACAGGAGAGUUAAUGAUGAUGUGAUAAAAUUUAGCACCUAUUAUCUAAUAAGCUGCUCAAGAGGUAUUAAAAGGAGCUAAACGUGGCCAGAGAACCUCAUUUUGCACCUCAUACCUUUCAACCACAUUCUCUCUCCGCAUUUGGAGCAUAAAUGUCUUUUUAUUCAAUAUGCUAAACUUUAUUAUAGUAGUCAAAACACUAAAGAGCUAAACUUUAGUUCUUUAAUUCGUACGACUAAAGUUUAGUAGAAAGCUAAAGUUUAUUUCGUAAGAGUAAAACAGGAGUCUUACCCAAAACCGAAAGAUCGGGCCAUAAAGCGGAAAAAAGGGGCUAUAAUUAAUAAAACACACACCAAAUAAUGAUUUCUGAUAAGGUAUCAAUCGGGGGCACUUUCGAAGGCAAGUGAGUUGCGUCAUCGGCAAACAUACGUGCGUAUUUUAUUGCCCUCGGACAGAAUAUAGAUAAACUAUACUACUAGCUUCUUUUGUUUCCCGAUAUCACACCGAGAGCCGUUGAUUUGCCUGCAAAGGCUUCAGGGCGAAGCAACAGCGUGUAUUAAACCAAAUCACCAUCAGGGAUACGCUGGGCCAGCAUAUACUCGUAUGAUUGCCAUCGGCUACAGUGGCGGCAGGGCGCGCGGGCUUGGCUGCAUCUGGAAGCGACCCGACUCACCCGCUCGCUGGUGGCUUCGGGUGCCACCUCUCGCAUCUACAAGGAAGGAACUUUUGAGAGGAGAUAGCGACAGGGACAGAGCGAGUGCCAACGACACAUGUCACCCUAAAAGAUUCAGAGGCACAAAUUCCUCACGCUCGGAUCAGAUAUCGUUCAUGCGAAAUCCACGGAUAAUUCACACUCAUGUGUGUUUUGCCACGAGUCACACAACCACGCUUCAUCGGGAGCCAAACAGCACUGAAGGCUUUUGAGAGUCAGAAAACCGGAAGAGGUUGUAGGGGCAAAAAUCCCUUUCUUAUUCAAUUUGAAUAAGAAGGAGAUUUUCUUCACUCUAAUUCCCUCCGACAUUGCUACUGCUUCCAUUCCUCGCAUUCAGCUUGAAGAGCCAUAUUGAACAACUAUAAAGAGCAUCUACCACUGCUCGGAUUAGCCUCCCUCCUAUCAUUCUCAUAAGGAUUGGCUUCCGCUUACUUUAGGUCUUGACCUAUUGCUAGUGCGGUUGAAGGCGUUGUUGAUGGUAAGGUGAUUAGUGAUAUGAAGACGGAUUGCCCGAAACAGAAUAGCUCUCAAAUUAGUCCUGAAGAUUUGGAUACAAGAGUAGCGAACUAGGCAGACUAGUGGUUUGCUUGACCACACCUAAAACCUAUAUUCAAAGGAGGCUAGCUUUUUGUCUCUCCAUCAACUCAACGUAAUCCCAAAAAAAAAAAAAGAUUAUUUGUUCUUUACCACACACUCUAAAAGAUUCCGCUAUAAAAAAUAUUAUUUAUUUUUUACCACACGCUCUAAAAGAUUAUGUACUCUAUAUCUUCGUGAUCUCUAACAACGUCCUCUAAAUUUUGUACUCUAUAUCUCAUUCUCCAUAAUUUCACCAAAUCCCUAUUAUCAGAAAAUUUCAAAAUCCAUAUUUACAGAAACAUUUUUAACUGAUUUACAUGUUAUAAUUUGUUUCUAAAAUUGUAUUAAUAAAUAUGUUUUUUAGAGAUCAAAAGGGCGUUGAGGCAAAACAAACAACGGGGCAAAUAUCAAAACAUACAUCUCAGUAAGAAUCGGCACAUGCCGAUGCAAUAUUAAUACUUCAAAAUGGGAACAAAACUCUCGAGUCUCGAUAGCAAUGUUAACAAAAAGUACAGCUCAGAAUUAACAGCUCUGUCGCUAAACUUCACAACCUUGAACCUCACUAUCGAAAGUGAUCUAAAACCUUGGCAGUUUACUCCAUAGUAGAGCCUGUCAGUUUACUCCAUUCUUGACUAUCGAAAGUGAUCUAAGACCUUGGCUUCUCCUUCUUCUCCUUGAAGAGCGCGAGCAGCGACACACCAGAUACCUUCACAACCUUGAACCUGACACCAGGGAUAUCUCCCACAGCAUGGCCCUUACGACCAAACCCAGCAAUCAACACCUCAUCCUACAGCAAAAGAGAUGGUUAGCUUUUUCAUUACAUAGAUUUUGACAAUCACCACAAGGCGGCGAACUGGUCAAGGAACACAUACAUUCUCCUCGAUGUAGUUUAGGCAACCAUCAUUUGGCACAAAGGCAGCAAUCUUUUUCCCAUUCUUCACCAGCUGAACACGGGCACACUUACGGAUGGCAGAGUUCGGCUGCUUGGCCUCAAUACCACUACACAGUGGAAGCAAUAAACCUUAGCCCAAGCACAGCAAGUACAAGAUAAUAAAAGCACCGAUCAUUCCCAUAUCCAACGUACAUCUUCUCCAGAACGAUGCCCUUGGCGUGAGAUGAUCCAGCAAAAGGUUUCUUCCACUCAUUGCCCAAGUGGCUUUUCUUGUAUGCCUUGUCAGCCCACCUCUGGUUCCUGCGGUGGGUCUUGAGCUUGCGCCCAGCUCCCAUACCGCGUGUCUUCCUGUGAUACGAUGUGAAUUAAAAGGUGAUAUGUUAAAUCAUACAUACAUCACAGGAUCUGCAACUCAUGACCACAAUUUUCCAUGUCCAGUGCAUAAACAUGUUCGCCAUGACACAACACAACCCUACCAUGCAAAACAAAAAUCAUGUAGGAAAUGCACGAACUACAAUCGUGCAUCAAAAUGCAACAAUGUGAACAAUUCAGUACUGAGAUAAUUUUUAACUUAUACCCUGAAUUGUAUGAGUGUUGCAAACAACCAACAUUUCACCUAGCAGACUGUAAACAUUAGCCACACACGAAUCCAUUCUUUUAGCUAGACGGCUAGACCAAACAAGCAUAUCCGUCCAUCUAUAGAACGUUGAUGGAUGACGACUGGGUACUGGCAUUCACAAGUUACAACAUAACAAAAAAAAAACCACAGGCAUAUCAACCCAGAAGAGGAGAAUCUUAAAACGUCGGAUACCCAUUUAAUAGAGGACUUGUAUGCCGCCACGCAUAACCUCAAGGACCCAAGCGUUGGAAUCCUGGAGCACAUGACUACACAGCGGCAACGGAUUGGUGUAGCUUAUGAAUAUGUUUAGCACUGACGGUGUAUAAUCUGAUCAGCACUGGACCGUCAAUAAGCUCGGUUUUUGCUUUUCGCCUCUAACCCGAUUCCAUUCUCUAACCAGAUCAGAAGACUUGCUAGAUCACAAGGCACGCAGCGAAAUCUACGCAUCAACGAGAGAAAGCAGAUGCAUUGCUGCGGCGAAGGAACGCCUCGAAACAACGAGCACGGGCGCAGGACACUGGAGCGAGACGGGGGAGACUCACCCCAUGGUAGCGGAGGGAGGAGACCGGCUGUGACGGUUGGCGACGCUGCGGUAGCCGGAUGCAACGGGCUUCGAGUUCGAAGGCAAGGCUAAGGCUGCGGCUGCGGCGUCGGCGUCGGCGGCGGGAUCGAGAGGGGCAAGAAAAAAAAAAUAUAGUAGGGUUGGCAGUUAGGGUUUGCUUGAUCUGCGUCACGAUUCGUGCUGGCGGGUGCUUCGGUCGUAUGUGGACUCUAAAUUUUAGAGUCGACAAGUGAGCAAGAUAUGAGAACGAAUUUUCCUACACAAGCUGAAGCAUCUCAGAAAAAAUUUAGGCCAUCAGGAUACAACGGCCGAAGGAACCUGAAACGAUCCACAAGCAAAUGUGCAAUACAGAUCAAACUCAGCUCAACGAGGAAAAACAUUGGCCCAAAUGUUCCUAUACUGAUUUUCAGUGUCAUCAAAGUAGAUACUAUGCCAACAAAAAAAACUCAAUAGAUGUGUAUACACAGUACGCAACUAGAUAAUCCAGUAGAACUGAUGUCAGUGUUUCAUGAUUUCAGUUGAUACCACAGAGUAGCCUAUCAAAAGGUAUUCCAGGAAAGAAGAGUAACCUCACAGAGCCACUAGAGCCUAGAGGGUACAACAGUACAUGAGACCACAUGCACCUUUAUUAUGUCUCAGAUACAAAAAAAUAACAUCCCUGAUUGCAGCACAAUCGAUCUAUAAAGUUGUAGGCUGUAGCCAUGGUCAACCAGUCUGGUGAACGGCAUAAAUAUAUCUUCCAGUACACUACCAGAACUUCACUGCUAUGGUAUGUUCUUGAGCACAUACAAUGGGAUGAAUGGAUGUAUCAUGUCCAGGAUAGGCACAAGUCAUAAGUUCAUUUAUAUGAAUCCUAAACCUCAUUGAAGUGUAAGCGGACAGACAAAAUUGACUUCUGAUUAGAGAAGAAAUCAAGCAGUUCGAACUCUGGAGCUAUUAUUUACAGAGUUUGUUAUGGCAUGUAAGGAUCUCAUUCUAGUCAUUCCUUGAUGCAGUGCUACACUUUUGGAAAAUGAAUAUCAGCAAGUGAAGAACUGAGAUCCUCUCUUGAUUGCGACCUCCGACUUUGAAGUGUAGUCUGACCUCGGCUAGGGUUCCUCACCCCGCUAGAAAACUGCAUCUGACCUAAGCUCCCAACAGAAUAGCUGUGAUAGGCACCCAAGGAUUGCCUCGAGGACUCCAUAAGCUCGACACUGCUGCCUCCUAGUCCUGCAAAUGGAUGAGGAUCUGACCCAGCAACAGUAGGGCUCAGUGGUGUCUUUGUUCUACCAUCACCUGCAAAAUUAAGAAAGUUCAAAUGUUUGAUUAUCUAAGGUAAGUUACAGUAAAGUAAGUUUCACGUAUUUUUGAAGAACUUAAAAGAUAACUUGAAUUCAUGUGACGAAAAACACUCAUUCUGUGUAGUAUCAUUUAGUAGAGAAGAGUCACAAGGAUUGGUGAUAUAAUAGAUACAUUUGAGGUAACAUCACAAAGUUUAGUCCAAAUGGCAUUUUGUAACAUAAGGCAGAAGUGAAAACAUGAAAGGUCCCACGUCCUUGAAGUUGCACCACACAACAGUUCUACGUAAAGCUGAUUCCUAGAAGGUUACAUAGUAGAAUAUUGGAAAACUAACGAAAUGUCAAGUUGCUUUAUGCUUUCCAACGAAACAAGUUAAGAGCCCUUUGUCUUAAAACAAGUGUAUCUAGCAGCCAACCGGGGUGAAAAUAAUCCAAACCCUGUAGUCCUUACAUGGUAUGUUAACUUUAUACAGAAGGGGAGAAACCAAGAUGGCGGGAACAUAAAAGAGAAAAACACACUUGCGCAUACCUGAACUAAUGGGAUUCCAUAAUAAAUGUUUGAAAGGCAAUCCCAUACCAAGAACAGAACUGCCUCCAGAAUUAUGCCUAUGAAUUGGCAGAUAAGACUUGCGGAAUGAUCUUGGUAUCGAAUUGCUGACGCAUAGUAUGGCACAUAUGACCAACACAAUUGAAAUCAGAAACAGUACUAUGAGAAUAUUUGGAUUUAUCUCCCUGUGCAGUAUUCGGUAUCCUUGAAUAUCUAGUCGUGAAGACAAUGCUUGACCAGCCUCCAGCAAAGCAACUCCAUGAGUCCAAGUAAUACUGCCAGAGCCAAUUAUCACCUGACUAUCUUUAAUCUGCAAUCCCUCUCUCAGUAGUGAUGAAAUAUAAGGAGCUCUGAAGCAAUAUUGUUCUACAAAAGGCUGUGGAGGAACACUACUCUUUGCAACUUUCCAUGGUUUUUCACAAAAUUCCUGACCUCUUUUUUGAACAUCACCUAGAGUCGCAUCAGCAGUCAAAUUAAAAAAUUUAAAAACCACAUAGAAGCCAGAGAUAGCGAAAAACUGCCCAUAUGGUCGGGGAAAGUUAGAGGCAAGAGCACAAGGAUGGAUGUUACAAUCAAGCCCUGGACUUGCACUGGACCACUCAGAAAGAUUGACUGUUACUUUUGCAAGAGCACUACAUUCAUUCCACUGAGGUGCUCCGACCAGUUCAACAGCUAUUCCCUGCUUCUCUUUGCCACUGUUCUUCUCGCCGACACUGGGACUUCCAUCUUGUUUCAAUGGAUGGCAGUAAGAACAAAUAUAAUCUUCCUUGAAUCCAGUCUGUAGACAGGGAUGUUUGACUUGAACCUUGCCAUUGCUAGCAACUCCUCCCAGUCUUUUCACUAGAUGUGCUACAGAUUUAUCAAAUGCAUCAUUUAACCCAUAACCAGUAAGAGAAUAAGCACUGAGGUGAUGUUCAACUGAACCAAUACUCAGACGAAUGCUUGUCUCAUCCUGCACUGAUUUAUCAUUCUCAAAUGUAACCUGUAAUGAUGAUCCCCCUAAAUCAAGUGAACCAUAUGUCAUUUUAGAUGAUGAGGUGCCAAGCAUAUCCAUGUUGUGGUUAAGAGCUAUCCAUCCAUAAUAAGCUUCAUCCAUGCCACUAAUGAUCUUAACUCUAUCUCUACUACAUAAAAAUGAUGAAUUGUUCAGGAUAUCCCAGGACUUAUCCAGGAGCCACUCUGAAUCUGCACUAGGUAGCUUGCGAACACCAGCAGUAGCAUAUAGAAAAAGUGGAGUGUGCUUGUGUGCAUGUCUAGGGAUCAAUUUCUCAGCCAUCUGAAGAAGGGGCUCUAUUGCCUUCUUCAAUCCAGAUUCAUUGUGAACGAGCUUGCUCAAUCCAGGUUCUGUCUCCAUUCGCUGAUAUAGUCGGGUUAAUUUACCAGAUUUCUUCUUGGGAGCAUUCCCUAAAGGUUUCAAAACAAUAGGAAAUGCAUUUGCGUCAUUAUGAUUAAUAUGCCAUUCAUAGACAUAAACUCUCGUACCAGUGCUGCCACAAUCAAGAACAACAUAGUAUUCAGAUCUUCCUUCAGAGAGGAACACAUGAAAAUAUCUCCAUGAACCAUACGCAAAGAACACCAGUAAGAUCAAUGCAAUAGCACACCCGGCUGCUCUCAUGCAUUUCUUUCUAUUUGUCGGCGAUGAGGGGGGUGUUCUUUCUUUUGAAAAGCUUGCGACGGCACCAUCUCUUUGAAGCAUGCGGACAGGUUUUGGGCGCCCUGAGCUCAGAUCACUGCCUACGCUAGAACCCCUUUCCAAAGCAUCAAUUCUGGUGAAGGUCGGCAAAUCUUGAAGAGAAGAAGAAAGACGCAUAGUUGCGUCUUUUGCAGUCAGGGCAGCAGUUGUUACAGAUUUUUACCAACCAGGGGCAAGAAGCAGGGAGAAGUUUGGGAAGCUGAAGUCAUAGGCAGAUAGCAUAACCAGAAGCAGAGUAAGAUACCAGCACCUCUAUGCAACCUCGGCCUGCAGAAAAGUUCAAAAGUUAGCUUGCAAACUAGCGUGGCGAAAUGCCGAAAUCAAAUAAAAAACGAAAUGCACUGCCAUGCUGGACACCAUGGCAACAUUCUCGUUUUCAGAAGAGUACAAAAGUAGGUUUCCAGCUCCCCAGCUAGGAAUACCAUGCCUUAAAAGACGAAGACAUCCUCUAAACUGAAACCUUGGAGCAAGGUCACUACCAAUCCACGAACAACACCGACGCCUGCAAUAUAACAUGUGAAGACAAACAGCUCUAAACCUCAAUCUAGCUUCCCACCAUUCAUCCGACCCACACUGCACCAAAUCACAACCGACGAACACUAGCAGUUCCAUAUCCCAGACCCUAGCAACGAGCCAAAGCCACCACUUUCCCCCUGGCUAACGGCACCCAGGAUCGCAACCCCACCAAACCACCGAUCCCGACCACUGAUCCAAGCGAACGGCAACUACCCCCCAAGCCGUAAGAUCUAGCCGCGCGCCGCAGACCCGGGAUAGAAACCGGCAGCCACCCGAGGCCGGAUCGGAUCUGGCGAGGCCCCCAAGCGACCCUGGGACAAGUUCCGUGACUCACCGGUUGGGGCGGCUACCCGCGAUCGCCGCCGCCGGCGGCCGAGGGGGGGCAGGCAGAUGUGCAGGGGCGCUGGGCCAAGAAGGGCGGGCGCCGAGGGUAGGUGGAGGGGCCCGCGGCGCGGCGGGGCGGGGGCGGCGACUGAUGAGGUGGAGUGGAAGCACUCAAAGGCAAGGCGGGGGAGGGCGAGGUCCCGUCUUGCCUCCUGCGCCUGCGUGGCUGCGUCCGCAACGGCGCUGCGACUGCGAGCCUGCGACGGAAUGAAUGAGAUGGGCGUGACGAGUGACCCACUUGGGCGGACUUUCAUAGUAGCAGGCUAGCAGCGAAGGAGGGACGGCGCAGCCACUGCUUCCUGCCGCUCAUGUCAUGAGCUCGGGGCAGCGACGACCCGAGAAGCGAACUCGACGGGCUCAGAAUGAUACGAACGGCCCAUCAGUGACGGUCCAGGCUCAAAUCAACUGGUAACCAUUGUCUUUCAAUGUUAGGGCCUUUGGCACGGCUCUUUCAGCGCUCUAGCUCGGGCUCACAGUCUACCAAACGGCAAAUGGUCAUAAAAGACGGUCGAGAAACAGAGCCGUUUUAGUUAGAGCAUAAAAAACAUAGUUUCUAUUGACUCCUAGCGAAAGGGUCACUAGUCUAGCGGUUAAGGACUUUCGAGUAGCACCUUCAAAUCCUAGUUUUGAUUCCUAUCGGGAGCGAAUUUUCAGGCUUGUUAAAAAAUCCUCUAGUUGUACCCUGUCCACUCUCAGGUUACAAUAUCCUGUGCGCCACCCUCCGGUUGGGCCGUUGCACAGUGGACAGUUGAUGCACGGCCCGUUAGUGAUGGGGGCCAGGGUUCGAGAAUUUUCCCGGCCAGGACCAUUGUUUCGAUCUCUUCUUAUAUGAAAUAUCGCGAGGGCGGUCUUUCCCUUCUCGACCGAGUUUUUUUAUUGACUCCUACAUUCUUCUCAUACAUCAAUUGAAAAAACACAGGAGAAAUUAUUUUGGCAAAUGAAUUGUAUGACGACUCUGGCUUCUCUAGAGAAGCCAAGAAACCAUAGGAUUCUAAGCCGAAAAUGUUGUUAGAGAAACCAGAGGCCUACCAAAGGGGGGUCUUAGAGCAUCUCAAAUAGCUCUUUAAAAAAACUCUAUAAAGGCUAGUUUGGGACCCCAUUUUCCCAAGGGGUUUCUAUUUUCUAAGGAAAAUUAGUUCAUAUUUCCUUGGGAAAAUAGAGAUCCCUUAAAAAAUGGAGUUCCUAAACUAACUCUAAACCUUGAGCUACACAUGUGAUUUGUUAUUAUCUAGAAGGCGUAAUUGUGCCAAUACUAUAACCUUAAUAUGCUUGCUUGAUCUAUAUAUUUUCUCCUAUCAAGAAUGAGUCAAUUAGAUAAAGAUAUAUGUUAGCUUUGUCAAUAUUGUUUGAGUCUUUGAGCGUAGCAGCAAAAGUCUUGGCACACCAUUAUUUUAGUUAUUAUGAUCUUAACAACCUAUUUAAUAUAUGGAGCUCGUGGCAAAUGCAGCCUCACAACAGGACGAUGGAACUCGUGGAGUUGAGUGGUGUGGCUCGCUCGGACUCACGCUCCUCUGCAACAAGGCACCGUUCCCCAUAAGGGUUCCCAUCACCAUUGUGUUCAUGCCGCCUUUCGCCAGGGCUCUAAACCAUUAGAGGCUCGUCAAUUUAUGUUCUAUUGCAAUGCACGCGCACGUACUUAGUUGCUAAAUAACUACGGGGAGUAAAAAAAUAGCUUGGUCUCCAACAGUUCCUCAUAUUUAGACAAUAGUUCAAUUUUGAAUCUAAUUUUGGUAGGUCUGUUCCUAUCGGACAUGGCUGGCAGUAGAGUCGAGCGUAGUGGACAUCGAGGGCACAUGAGAAGGUCAGGUCGAUCGACGCGACCCGUUGGGAAGCGAUAGUUCAGCGGCAUGACUUAUGGGUGAGCGGUGGUCUGUCGGUGGAGGAGAAAGUUGUCAUGCUUGUUGGACGUGAGUGACUGCCUUGCUGCACAGGAAAUAAAAAAAGAGCAUGUCAUAUCUGACUACCUCGUUGUGCGGAAAAGGGGAAAAUGAACACGCAGGUGUGAAGGAAUCGACGAUAACUGUGUUAAGGGAGGCUGCUAUUGAGUUGUCAAAUCUAGAGAUUAAGUGAGUUUGGAUAGCAAGUGACUAAAUUUAGCAAGUCUAUUUGAAAGGGAAUUAGGCUUACACCUUUUUCCUAAUUGAUUUUGGUGGUUGAAUUGCCCAACACAAAUAAUUGGACUAACUAGUUUGCUCUACUCUAUAAGUUCUACAGGUGCCAAAGGCUCACAAUAAGCCAAUAAAAAGACUAGGAAAGGAUUCAAACAAAGAGAGCAAAAGACAAUCCAAAGGCACCCUUGUCUGGCGCACCGGACUGUCCGGUGUGCCACCGGACAGUGUCCGGUGCACCAGGGCACUCGACGCUGAACUCGCUACCUUCGGGAUUUUCAGAGGGUGCUCCGCUAUAAUUCACCGGAAUGUCCGGUGUGACAGCGGAGCAACGACUACUUCGCGCGCAACGGUCGUCUGCAACCGCAUUCAAUGCGCUACAGUGCGCGCCAGAGUCAGAGCACGCACAGUUGCACACCAGACAGUCUACAGGACCUGUCCGGUGCACCACCGGACAGCCCAGAGGCCCCACAAGUCAGAGCUCCAACGGUCGAACCCCAACGGCUCGCUGACGUGGCUGGCGCACCGGACUGUCCGGUGCGCCAUGCGACAGCAGUCUUCCAACGACCAUUUUUGGUGGUUGGGGCUAUAAAUACCCCAACCACCCCACAUUCAAUGGCAUCCAAGUUUCUACACUUCUACACCUUACAAGAGUUAUAGCUUUUAAUACAAGACACACCAAAGAGAUCAAAUCCUCUCCCAACUCCACACAAAGCUUUAGUGAUUAGAGAGAGUGAUUUGUUGUGUUCAUUUGAGCUCUUGCGCUUGGAUUGCUUCUUUCUUUCUCCAUUUUUGUGAUCAAACUCAAUUGUAACCAAGGCAAGAGACACCAAUUGUGUGGUGGUCCUUGUGGGGACUUUGUGUCCCGUUUUGAUUGAGAAGAAGACACUCGGUCUGAGUGACCGCUUGAGAGAGGGAAAGGGUUGAAAGAGACCCGAUCUUCAUGACCACCUCAACGGGGAGUAGGUUUGCAAGAACCGAACCUCGGUAAAACAAAUCAUCGUGUCUCGCUCUUUAUUCGCUCACGAUUUGUUUUGUACCCUCUCUCUAGGACUCGUUUAUAUUUCUAACGCUAACCCGGCUUGAAGUUGUGCUUAAGUUUGUAAAUUUUAGAUUCGCCCUAUUCACCCCCCCCCCUCUAGGCGACUUUCAAUUGGUAUCAGAGGCCGGUGCUUCAUUAGAGCCUAACCGCUCGAAGUGAUGUCGGGAGAUCAUGCCAAGAAAGAGAUGGGGACCGGCGAGAAGCCCAUUACAAGCCACGGGAAGGCUCCAUCAGGAGAGUCCUACAACAAAGGGAAGGGGAAGGAAAAAGAAUCCCCUUCACACAAGUCGCGUCGGAGCAGUGACAAGAAGAGGAAGAUGAGGAAUGUGGUCUACUACGAGACCGACUCCUCGUCGCCAUCCACCUCCGGCUCCGACACGCCGUCCGUAACUUCUAAGCGCCAUGAGCGCAAGAAGUUUAGUAAGAUCCCCCUACGCUACCCUCGCAUUCCUAAACAUACGCCAUUACUUUCCGUCCCAUUGGGCAAACCACCAACGUUUGAUGGUGAAGAUUAUGCUAGGUGGAGUGAUAUGAUGCGAUAUCACCUAACCUCACUCCACAAAAGUAUAUGGGAUGUUGUUGAGUUUGGUGUACAGGUACCAUUCGAAGGGGAUGAAGACUAUGAUGAGGACGAAGUAGCCCAAAUUGUGCACUUCAACUCCCAAGCCACCACUAUACUCCUCACCUCUCUAAGUCGAGAGGAGUAUAACAAGGUGCAAGGAUUGAAGAGCACCAAGGAGAUUUGGGACGUACUCAAGACGGCGCACGAAGGAGACGAAGUGACCAAGAUCACCAAGCGGGAGACGAUUGAGGGGGAGCUCGGACGCUUCCGACUUCGCCAAGGGGAGGAGCCACAAGAAAUGUACAACCGGCUCAAGACCUUGGUGAACCAAGUGCGCAACCUCGAGAGUAAGAAAUGGGAUGACCAUGAGAUGGUUAAGGUUAUUCUUAGAUCACUUGUUUUCCUUAACCCUACACAAGUUCAAUUAAUUCGUGGUAAUCCUAGAUAUACACUAAUGUCUCCCGAGGAAAUAAUAGGUAAUUUUGUGAGCUUUGAGUUGAUGAUCAAAGGCUCAAAGAAAAUCAACGAGCUAGAUGGCCCCUCCACGCCCGAAGCACAACCGAUUGCAUUCAAGGCAACGGAGGAGAAGAAGGAGGAGUCUACAUCAAGUAGACAACCAAUCGAUGCCUCAAAGCUCGACAAUGAGGAGAUGGCGCUCAUCAUCAAGAGCUUCCGCCAAAUCCUCAAGCAAAGGAGGGGGAAGGACUACAAGUCCUGCUCCAAGAAAGUUUGCUACAAGUGUGGUAAGCCCGACCAUUUUAUUGCAAAAUGUCCAUUAUCCAGUGACAGUGACAGAGGCGACGACAAGAAGGGAAAGAGGAAAGAAAAGAAAAGAUACUACAAGAAGAGAGGCGGCGAUGCCCAUGUAUGUCGCGAGUGGGACUCCGAUGAGAGCUCCUCCGACUCUUCCUCCGACGAGGACGCCGCCAACAUCGCCAUCAACAAGGGUCUCCUCUUCCCCAAUGUCGGCCACAAGUGCCUCAUGGCAAAGGACGGCAAAAGGAAGAAGGUAAAAUCAAAGUCUUCCACUAAAUAUGCAACCUCUAGUGAUGAGGACAAUUGUAGUGAUGAAGAAGAUAAUCUGCGUACACUUUUUGCCAACCUAAACAUGCAACAAAAAGAAAAAUUGAAUGAACUAAUUAGCGCUAUUUCUGAGAAGGAUGAUCUCUUGGACACCCAAGAGGACUUCCUAAUUAAGGAGAAUAAAAAGCAUGUUAAGGUUAAAAAUGCUUACGCUAUAGAAGUAGAAAAAUGUGAAAAACUAUCUAGUGAGCUAAGCACAUGCCAUGAUGCUAUUGUCAACCUUAGAAAUGAGAAUGCUAGUUUAAUUGCUAAGGUUGAUUCAAAUGUUUGUAAUGCUUCAAUUCCCAAUAUUAGAGAUGAUAAUGGUAAAUUACUUGCUAAGAUUGAAGAAUUAAAUGUUUCCCUUGCUAGCCUUAGAGAUGAAAAUGAAAAAUUAAUUACUAAGGCUAAAGAACUAGAUGUUUGCAAUGUUUCCAUUUCCGAUCUUAGAGAUAACAAUGAUAUUUUGCGUGCUAAGAUCGUUGAACUUAAUUCUUGCAAACCCUCUACAUCUACCACUGAGCAUGUUACUAUUCGCACUAGAUGUAGAGAUGUUAACAUUGAUGCUAUUAAUGAUCAUAUGGCUUUAAUUAAACAACAAAAUGAUCAUAUAGCAAAAUUAGAUGCUAAAAUAGCCGAGCAUGACUUAGAAAAUGAGAAAUUUAAAUUUGCUAGAAGCAUGCUCUAUAGUGGGAGACGCCCUGGUAUCAAGGAUGGAAUUGGCUUCCAAAGGGGAGACAAUGUCAAACUUAAUGCCCCUCCUAAAAGAUUGUCAAACUUUGUUAAGGGCAAGGCUCCCAUGCCUCAGGAUGACGAGGGUUACAUUUUGUACCCUGCCGGUUAUCCCGAGAGCAAAAUUAGGAGAAUUCAUUCUAGGAAGUCUCACUCUGGCCCUAAUCAUGCUUUUAUAUAUAAGGGUGAGACAUCUAGCUCUAGGCAAUCAACCCGUGCAAAAUUGCCUAAGAAGAAAACUCCUAGUGCAUCAAAUGAUUCUAACAUGUCAUUUAAAACUUUUGAUGCAUCUUAUGUUUUAACUAACAAAUCCGGCAAGGUAGUUGUCAAGUAUGUUGGGGGCAAACACAAGGGAUCAAAGACUUGUGUUUGGGUACCCAAAGUUCUUGUAUCUAAUGUCAAAGGACCCAAAACCAUUUGGGUACCUAAAGUCACGAACUAAAAUUGUUUUGUAGGUUUAUGCAUCCGGGGGCUCAAGUUGGAUCAUCGACAGCGGGUGCACAACCACAUGACAAGGGAGAAGAAGAUGUUCUCCUCUUAUGAGAAUAACCAAGAUCCCCAACGAGCUAUUACAUUUGGGGAUGGAAAUCAAGGUUUGGUUAAAGGAUUGGGUAAAAUUGCUAUAUCACCUGACCAUUCCAUUUCAAAUGUUUUUCUUGUAGAUUCUUUAGAUUACAACAUGUUUCAGUUUCGCAAUUAUGCAAAAUGGGCUACAACUGUCUUUUUACAGAUAUAGGUGUUACUGUCUUUAGAAGAUGUGAUGAUUCAAUAGCAUUUAAGGGAGUGUUAGAUGGUCAGCUAUACUUAGUAGAUUUUGAUAGAGCUGAACUCGACACUUGCUUAAUUGCUAAGACUAACAAGGGCUGGCUCUGGCAUCGCCGACUAGCACAUGUUGGAAUGAAGAAUCUUCACAAGCUUCUAAAGGGAGAACACAUUUUGGAACUAACAGAUGUUCAUUUUGAGAAAGACAGGAUUUGUAGCGCAUGUCAGGCAGGGAAGCAAGUUGUUGUUCAUCAUCCACACAAGAACAUUAUGACGACUGAUAGGCCACUCGAACUUCUACACAUGGACCUAUUCGGCCUGAUUGCUUACAUAAGCAUCGGUGGGAGUAAGUACUGUCUAGUUAUUGUGGAUGACUAUUCUCGCUUCACUUGGGUGUUCUUUUUGCAGGAAAAAUCUCAUACCCAAGAGACCUUAAAGGGAUUCUUGAGACAGGCCCAAACGAGUUCGGCUUAAGGAUCAAGAAAAUUAGAAGCGACAACGGGACGGAGUUCAAGAACUCACAAAUCGAAGGCUUCCUUGAGGAGGAGGACAUCAAGCAUGAGUUCUCCUCUCCCUACACGCCACAACAAAAUGGUGUAGUGGAGAGGAAGAAUCGAACUCUAUUGGACAUGGCAAGAACCAUGCUUGAUGAGUACAAGACUUCGGAUCGGUUUUGGGCUGAGGCAGUCAACACCGCUUGCUACGCCAUCAACCGGUUAUAUCUACACCAAAUCCUCAACAAGACAUCAUACGAACUCCUAACCGGUAAAAGGCCCAAUGUUUCAUAUUUUAGAGUCUUUGGUAGCAAAUGUUUUAUUCUUGUUAAAAGAGGUAGAAAAUCUAAAUUUGCUCCUAAGGCUGUAGAAGGCUUUUUACUAGGAUAUGAUUCAAACACAAGGGCAUAUAAAGUCUUUAACAAGUCCUCUGUACUAGUUGAAGUUUCUUGUGACAUUGUGUUUGAUGAAACUAACGGCUCUCAAGUAGAGCAAGUUGAUCUUGAUGAGCUAGGUGAUGAAGAGGCUCCAUGCGUCACACUAAGGAACAUGUCCAUUGGGGAUGUGUGUCCUAAGGAAUCCGAAGAACCACCACAAGCACAAGAUCAACCAUCCUCCUCCACGCAAGCAUCUCCACCAACUCUAAAUGAGGAUGAGGCUCAAAAUGAUGAAGGAGAAGAUCAAGGAAAUGAGCCUCCUCAAGAUGAUGGCAAUGAUCAACGGGCAGAUGCAAAUGAUCAAGAUAAGGAGGAUGAAGAACCAAGACCGCCACACCCAAGAGUCCACCAAGCAAUUCAACGAGAUCACCCCGUGAACACCAUCCUCGGCGACAUUCAAAAGGGGGUAACCACUAGAUCUCGUGUUGCACAUUUUUGUGAGCAUUACUCUUUUGUUUUCUCUAUUGAGCCACACAUGGUAGAGCAAGCACUACAAGAUUUGGAUUGGGUGGUGGCUGUGGGGGAUAGAUAUCCCCCGGGUCCACUAAAAGAGUAAAAGACCUCACGAAAGGCCCAAGGGCCCCAUAAAUCGUAGGGUCAUUCUUUCGUGGGCCUGGGGAGAAACAACCAACAAAGCAGAGCGACGUGAGACCGGAUUGGUGCAAACCCGGACGGCCCACAACGUCGAGCGAGUAAAUCGCAACAGAGACCCGACUUUCCCGCGCUGAAGCCCCCAUGCAACGGAGCCAUGCGAGGAUAAGUCGGCGAGGGUUACGUAGGGAUAAACUCAAGAGGUUCACUACCUUUUAGCUACUUGUUGUUAUCAUAUCCACGUGUACUGCCCCACGGUCGAGUAUAUAAGGCCUAGGGGGCACCCCUUCAGAUCGAUCGACCCUAUCUUACUUAGCCACCCACAUCAACUUUCUGUAUCUUCAAUCCAGAGAGCCCUCUUGUAACCACGCUCAUCAAGCAAAUUCACCAGGACGUAGGGUGUUACGCAUCUCUAAGCGGCCCGAACCUGUAAAUCUUGUCCACUGUCCCUCGUGCGAUCGGCACGAACCAUUUUGCUACAGUCGUCGACACCGUCCUACUCCUAGAAACACCUUGAGGGGCAACCCCGGGUGUGCGGUCGGACCCAAAACAUCGACAGCUGGCGCGCCAGGUAGGGGGUGUGUCGACGAUCCAAGCUAGCUCAAUGGCCGUCACUUUCUACAGCAAGAUCACCAUGCGUCCCGGAUCCGUAUUCUGCUUCGGGACAAUCUCAUCUGUAGCGGAUGAAGAGGGAAUUCUACACCGUAUCGCGGAUCCGCCGAAAAAGAAGUCUCCUCCAACGAACUCCGAAAAUGCCGGAGAGGUGCAACCUCCAGCUCUUCGGAAAAAGAUCGUCUCCGGAAAGUCGGGGGCCGAGGGCUCACUGACCCGGAAGACUCCGCUGUCUACUUCCUCGACAAAAGAAUGGACACGGAUCGCGAGGAAGAAGGAGACCAGGGAAAAGCAAGUCGUUCUUUCUGUUCCUCCGGCCUCAAAGGAGAACGGAAAGAAAGUCGCCACGACAGCAGCACCAUUCUACCCCGACGUCCUCUUCAUCGGGAGAGUGGAGUCGCCCACCGUCUCUGACGAUGAACCGACCGCGCCCAGAGAAGAACCGCCUCAACGAGAAUCCCGCCGACGGAGGAACCGGCGCAGGAACGUUCGACGACAUCACGCGGCCGGAGAACGGGAUCCGGAGCAGCCUGUCUCACGAGACGAGGUCUCGGAGAUAGGAGAAACUCCGAAAGAACGCGUCUUCAGAGAACGAAGGAACUCCCGACGACGUGAUCGCCGGCGGGCUCAGGAACAGGCCGAGCAAGACGCAAGGCAACGCCGGGAGAAUCCAUUCUUCGGGCGCAACCUGAAUCCCGACUUCGCCCGAGCUAUGAACACGCCGAGUGAAGUUGGAGGGGUACUAGCUCGGAUAGCUGACAGACUUCCUCGAACUCCCGACGCCGAGGGCUACUGACGUCUGUUCACCCAGGCGGCCAACCAUCUCCUACCGCUCGCUCACCCGCCAAACGACCUACGACACGCCAUCAACAGUCGUCGGGACGCGCGAAGUUCCAUCAAUGCUUCGCGCGAACGGCGGCAUGAGAACGAGAUUCGCCGUCGGGAGGAGUACGACCGAGAUUAUGGCAUCCCGACUCAGAGCCAGGCCACCAGGACUGAGUCGGCAACGGCCUCAACUGGCGGUACCACCCGGGGACGGUCGAGGAACUACAAUCACAACUCCCCUCCCCGGGACAGACAUCGCCCCCGACGACAGGAGGACACGUGCGGAGUGUCCGCUCUUACUCCGCGCCUUAGGGCCAUCCAAUGGCCUCCCAACUUCAAGGUAUCCAAUGUCGACAAAUAUGAACCUAAGCAGGAUCCAGGGGGUUGGCUAGCAGUCUACACCACCGCUGCUCGAGCUACCGGGGCAUCUGAGGACGUUAUGACCGCGUAUUUGCCCAUCGUCCUUGGGCAAGACGCGCUACAGUGGCUACGACAUUUACCCCGACACUGCAUCGACGACUGGGGAGACUUCAGUCGACGUUUCACCGCCAAUUUCCAGUCCCUCUCCGACAAGCCAGCGCAACCGUGGGACCUCAAAUCCAUCAAGCGCCGGGGGGAUGAUACUCUCCGGUCGUACCUCAAAAGGUUCCAGACCAUGAGAAAUCGCAUCCCCGAGGUCACGGAGGCGGCCGUGAUCGAGGACUUCUACAGAGGAUCCAACGACUCGGUUUUUGUCCGAGCCAUACUACAGAAGGCGCCGACUACUUCCGAGGAGCUGUUCCGGGAAGCCGACCUCUACAUCACCACCGACGAGCGAGCUCAGGACCUCAUCGGAGGAGCAAAGCCUGCACCGGCAGCACCACGACGCGACACGAACCAGCCACCCGACAAACGCUGGGAGAAGAGGCCUCGCGAAGAAGUACACGCCGCCGGACCACCUGCCUCUCGCGCCCGAGGAGGACCUCGCGGAGGCGAGCGCACGCUGGACGACAUCCUCGACGCCCAGUGCCAUACCACAAGGACAUGCGCCACACUCUUCGCAACUGUCGGGACUUCAAGCACUCCGUUGGGCAUGGCCGACCCUUCCAACCUCUACCUCCUCCUCCGCCGAGGGGAGGACCGGAUGAACCACGACAACCUCAUCAGCCGGAGGAGGGAGGAGGAGGAGCUUUCCCACGCGUCGACAGGGAGGUCAACGUCAUCUUCGGCGGACAUGGGUCACAGGAGAACAAGAGACAACAAAAGCUCAACGACCGCCAGAUACUGGUGGCGACCACCGGUCCCCCCGCCCCAUACCGGUGGUCAGAACACCUGAUCACCUUCACUCGGGAGGAUCAAUGGCUCAACUUCGACCAUCCGGGCAAAUACCCGCUCCUCGUCGAUCCGGUGAUCCGAGAGAGCCGGGUGAAGAAGGUGCUAGUGGACGGGGGGAGCAGCAUCAACGUCACCUUCCCCCGGACACUCCAAGGCUUGGGGGCUCACCUCAAGGAGCUCCACAAGUCAGACACUCCUUUCUUCGGCAUCGUGCCGACGGAGGGGGAAUACCCGCUGGGCCACAUCUACAUGCCGGUCACCUUCGGAACUCCGGAGAACUACAGAACCGAGUUCCUGAGGUUUGAAGUGGCAAACUUCGACUGCGGGUACAACGCCAUCAUUGGAAGGCCGGGAUUGGCCAAAUUCAUGGCCAUUCCGCACUAUACAUACAUGAUACUGAAGAUGCCAGGACCGCAAGGGAUCAUAACUGUGCGCGCCGACUUCCAAGGCGCCGCAGAAUGUUUCCGAGUGGCCAUCCAAGCAGCCCUCACCACCAAGCCGUCAACGGUCCCUUCUACACUGGCGAACUCUAAGCCUGAGGAGGACCUCGCCGUACCGGCAAACGAAGCUCAGGCCGCGACCUCUAUGCGGCCGACUGAAGAAACCAAGCGAAUCAACCUGGGGUUCGCUGAUGAGCGCAAGACAGCCAUCAUCAGCUCCAGCUUGGACGACAAAUAGGAAAGCGCGCUCGUCCAGUUCCUGCAAGAUAACCGAGAUGUAUUCGCAUGGCAACCUGCGGAUAUGCCGGGAGUCCCAAGAGAACUGGCCGAGCACAAGUUGAAGGUUUAUCCCUAGGCGAGGCCGAUCCGGCAAAAGCUACGUCAUUUCACGCCCGACAAGAGAGAGGCCAUUCGCGCCCAGUUAGCUCGCUUGGUUGCGGCUGGAUUUAUUAGAGAAGUAUUACACCCCGAGUGGUUAGCCAACCCUGUUCUUGUACUCAAAAGAAUAAAGUGGAUUGGCGCAUGUGCGUCGACUAUACUGAUCUCAACAAACACUGUCCGAAGGAUCCCUUCGGGCUCCCGAGGAUAGAUCAGGUGGUGGACUCCACCGCUGGAUGUUCUGUGCUGUCUUUCUUAGAUUGUUAUUCCAGGUAUCAUCAGAUUAGUUUGGCAAAAGAAGACGAGGAAAAAACGGCGUUCAUCACUCCGUUUGGUGCUUUCUGUUAUACCUCCAUGCCGUUCGGCCUCAAAAACGCUGGAGCGACUUAUCAGAGAGCCAUUCAAACAUGCUUAGCCGAUCACUGGGGCAAGCGUGUGGAGGCUUACGUAGAUGAUGUGGUAAUCAAAACAGAGAAUUCGGAAAACUUCAUCGAAGACUUACAGCUAGUUUUCAACAGCUUGAGACGAUAUAGAUGGAAGCUCAAUCCCGAAAAAUGUGUUUUCGGGGUACCAGCAGGAAAUUUGCUCGGGUUUAUUGUCAGCCACCGGGGAAUUGAGGCUAAUCCAGAUAAGAUUGAAGCUAUCAUGAAGAUGGAAGCUCCUCGGUCACAAAAGAAGGUUCAGCGACUUACUGGAUGUAUGGCAGCUCUGAGCAGAUUUAUAUCCAGGCUGGGAGAAAAAGGUUUGCCAUUUUACAAGCUACUCAAGAAGGUGGAUAAGUUUCAAUGGACUUCAGAAGCACAAGAAGCUCUAGAUGCACUGAAGAAAUUCUUGACAACACCACCAGUACUGAAACCACCCCGGCGAGUUACGUCGACUCAACCGGCUGAAGAUUUGCUACUGUAUAUCUCUUGCACGACUCACGUGGUAAGCACCGCGUUGGUAGUCGAGCGAGUAGAAGAAGGACAUGCCUAUCCAGUACAACAUCCCGUUUACUUCAUCAGUGAAGUUCUAGGCCCCUCGAAGAAAAAGUAUCCUCAGGUUCAGAAGCUAUUAUACGCAGUACUUCUAACUGCCCGCAAGCUGCGUCACUACUUUGACGACCACAAAGUCAUAGUAGUCACUGGUUUUCCAAUAGGGGAUAUUCUUCACAACAAGGAAGCCAUUGGCCGAAUAGCCAAGUGGGCUUGCGAGCUGGGAUCCCACGACAUCGAGUUCCGACCUCGCACUGCCAUCAAAACUCAAGCACUGGUAGAUUUCGUAUCAGAAUGGACAGAACAGCAAGUACCGGAUAAUCCAGAAACUGCAGAAGUAUGGCGAAUGUAUUUUGAUGGCUCGCUGAAGCUGCAGGGAGCAGGAGUAGGGAUUCUCUUCACCGCACCUGGAGGCGAACACCUCAAGUACGCCCUCCAGUUGCUAUUCCCGGCCUCUAACAAUGCAGCCGAGUAUGAAGCUUUGAUACACGGAUUGAACAUCGCCAUAUCACUGGGCGUCAAGAGAUUGAUGGUAUACGGAGAUUCUCUGGUAGUCAUCAGCCAGAUAAACAAGGAAUGGGAUUGUUCAAGCGAUUCAAUGGGAAAAUACUGCGCUGUCGUCCGAAAGCUAGAAGAUAAAUUCGAGGGUCUGGAAUUUCAUCAUAUAGAAAGAGAUCGGAACACAGCAGACGAUGUACUGUCCAAGCUCGGAUCCAGUCGAACUCAGGUCCCACCCGGAGUCUUCGUGCAAGAAAUUCUGCAGCCGAGUAUCUCAAUGGAUCAAACAGAAGAGUGCAACAUCAUAGAUCAACCCGAGUCAGACUCUGAUGACUGGAGAAGGCUGAUUAUUAAGUAUAUAAAGAAUGAAGAAGAACCAGACGACAAGAACUCGGCAGAGCGCAUUGCCAGGCAGUCGGCUCACUAUACACUCAUUGGGGAGAUAUUGUACAGAAGGGGCGCAUCAGGCAUCCUCAUGAAGUGUGUUCUCCCGUCCACUGGGAAGCAACUUCUGGAGGAGGUCCAUGCAGGGCAAUGUGGAAUACAUGCAGCAUCCAGAACACUAGUCGGGAAGGUUUUCAGGUCAGGAUUCUAUUGGCCGACAGCAAAGAACGAUGCAGCCGAGUUAGUUCAGAGGUGCGAAGCUUGCCAAUACUUGUCAAAGCAACAACACAUGCCAGCACAGCAACUACAGACCAUACCAGUAACCUGGCCUUUCGCAUGCUGGGGACUGGAUAUGAUUGGACCUUUCAAGAAAGCUCAAGGGGGAUAUACUCAUGUAUUGGUGGCGAUUGACAAAUUCACUAAAUGGAUAGAGUUCAAGCCCAUUGCUUCUUUAACCUCUGCUAAGGUCGUGGAUUUCAUACAAGACAUAAUAUUCAGAUUCGGGAUACCAAACAACAUCAUCACCGACUUAGGAUCCAACUUCACCAGUUCAGAAGUCUUCGACUUCUGCGAGCAAAAGAGCAUUCAGAUCAAGUACGCAUCUGUAGCACAUCCAAGAGCCAACGGGCAGGUUGAGCGAGCCAACAGAAUGAUAUUGGAGGCACUCAGGAAAAAGGUCUUCGAUAAGAAUGAAAAAUUCGCAGGAAAGUGGAUAAGAGAAUUGUCUUAUGUUGUUUGGAGCCUAAGAACCCAACCUAGCCGAGCCCUGCAUGGAAACACUCCUUUUUUCAUGGUCUAUGGGUCGGAGGCAGUGCUACCUGCUGAUCUCAAGUUUGGGGCGCCAAGGUUGAUCUUCGAAAGCAUAGCAGAAGCUGAGGCCACCAGGCUGGAAGACAUUGAUGUACUUGAGGAAGAACGGCUGAAUGCGGUAAUCCAAUCAGCACGGUACCAGCAGACUCUAAGGCGCUAUCACGACAAGGCUGUGCGGCAACGGUUCUUUUCAGUAGGAGACCUCGUCCUCCGCCGAAUUCUAACGGGGGAGGGACGGCACAAGUUAUCACCCUUAUGGGAAGGACCCUUCAUGGUAGCAGAAGUCACUCGGCCCGGAUCGUAUCGCCUCACUCAGAUGGAUGGCACAGAAGUUGGGAACUCCUGGAACAUAGAGCACCUCAGAAAGUUUUAUCCCUAGCUGUAUUUCAAAACUGCUGGGGCGACAAUGUAUUCUGUAAAGUGGAAAUAUGUCAUCAAUAAAGAGAGAUUUCAAAGAUACUCAGUUCGUUUACGAUUGACUUGCAUUCUUACUUAACUCGGGGUGACCACUAUGCCCUACAAACGGAGCAAUCGACUUAAGUCGGCAACGACUUAAGGCGGUGCAACAUGCUCACGCUUACUUAACUUGGGGUGACCACUAUGCCCUACAAACGGAGCAAUCGACUUAAGUUGGCAACGACUUAAGACGGUGCAACAUGCUCACGCUUACUUAACUCGGGGUGACCACUAUGCCCUACAAACGGAGCAAUCGACUUAAGUCGGCAACGACUUAAGGCGGUGCAACAUGCUCACGCUUACUUAACUCGGGGUGACCACUAUGCCCUACAAACGGAGCAAUCGACUUAAGUCGGCAACGACUUAAGGCGGUGCAACAUGCUCACGCUUACUUAACUCGGGGUGACCACUAUGCCCUACAAACGGAGCAAUCGACUUAAGUCGGCAACGACUUAAGGCGGUGCAACAUGCUCACGCUUACUUAACUCGGGGUGACCACUAUGCCCUACAAACGGAGCAAUCGACUUAAGUCGGCAACGACUUAAGGCGGUGCAACAUGCUCACGCUUACUUAACUCGGGGUGACCACUAUGCCCUACAAACGGAGCAAUCGACUUAAGUCGGCAACGACUUAAGGCGGUGCAACAUGCUCACGCUUACUUAACUCGGGGUGACCACUAUGCCCUACAAACGGAGCAAUCGACUUAAGUCGGCAACAACUUAAGGCGGUGCAACAUGCUCACGCUUACUUAACUCGGGGUGACCACUAUGCCCUACAAACGGAGCAAUCGACUUAAGUCGGCAACGACUUAAGGCGGUGCAACAUGCUCACGCUUACUUAACUCGGGGUGACCACUAUGCCCUACAAACGGAGCAAUCGACUUAAGUCGGCAACGACUUAAGGCGGUGCAACUUGCUCACGCUUACUUAACUCGGGGUGACCACUAUACCCUACUAACGGAGCAAUCGGCUAAAGUCAGUGGCGACUUAAGCCGGUGCAACAUACUCGCGCCUAUGUAAUUCAGGGGAUGACUUCCAUAUCCCGCAAACAAAUUUCAUAAUCAUCAUGCGUCAUUUCAUUACCGCAAAUUUACGAAUCAAUAAAUUCUGAUACAAUAAGAAAGUAAUUAUGUCAUUCGAAUGAUAAACUGAUGUCCUCUAACAAAUACUCGAUCAUGCUAACCGCGCGCUCAGAGCACGCAAAAUGUUUCUCUAUUUCGCAAUGUCUUUCUCAGGAGCGACCGACGAAGAAGGGCGACUCGAGGAAUCAGGGGCAGCAUUCACGUCAGCCUUUAUGUCUUCAGGAACAACCACGCCGGGUCUCCUCAUUAAGAUUCGUCCCGCCCGAAUAGCCUUGUCCAUGGCUUUAUCGCGCUGGGCUUUGAGAGUAGCAGCAGUUUCUUCGGCAACUUUAGCAGCCAGCCAAGCAGCCUCUAACUCCUGGGCAAUGGAUUUCUUGGAAGCUCGGAGUUCUUUGAUGGUGGCAUCCUUUGCUGAUAUCAAUUGCUUAAGGCGGAUCACUUCGUCCGCAGAUUCCUGUAGCUUACAAUGCUGAUUGUCCAGUUCCUCCAUUGUAAAGCGGUGACUCCUCUCCAAGAUUGACAGCGAGCUGCUAGAAUCACGAUACAAUCUGUCAAGAUUGUCACGAGAAGCAGCAAGGAUACGUUUUUCUUCCUGCAAACAAAAAUCAACUCCUUCAGAAACCAAGCAAGUAAUAGGAACAUAUCAAGGCAAGGCACAGUUUUGUAAGUUACCUUUUCAGAGUCAAGCCGAGCAUGAAGAGAAGAACUCAGGGCAUUGGCGUCAUCCAAGGCAGCGGAGACCUGAUUUAGUUCAGUUUGGCUCUGAGAGUACUUCUCCUCGAAGUCAGCGCACCGUUGAACCAUUUCAGCCUGAUCUCGGGAAUGUUUUUCCUCAAGAAUUGCAAUCUGCCGAGUCAUUCCUAGCAAGAGGUAAUAAAAAAACGAGGUCAGAAGGUAAAACAGUCCACAACAAAGGCGAAAAGAAGAAAAAGGGCACUAACCAGCGUUAGUUGCCUCCAACUCGGAUACACGACGAUGAAGUGACACUGGAUUCCAACACGCAAGAGACGAAGCCAUUUCUGGGACGGAAGCACCCUGCAAUCUCAACUGGCUGGCCAUCCCAUCCACCAAAGCCUGAUGAGAAGAACAGAUGAACAUAAUGACAAAAGUUCAUGCAACGUAAAGAUCAAGCUAAAAUACAGCGCAGUACCUGGAGGUUGGAAAAGAACGAAGGGAUCCCCAAAUCAGGAGAAAUCAGCUGAUAACCAGGCGCAAGGCCACCACCCGAAGCAGCUUGCAAUGAACCAGUAGGAAUCAGCUCAGUGCCUUCAACAGAGCCAAACGCCCGAUCAGCGGGGACGCUGCCCUCUAAAGCGACUCCCUGGUCCAAAGUUUGGGCUACCACCAUGCAGCCAGAGUGUGGAGGUGAUCCCGCGUGAACGUCCAUGGAAGUGCAGGAAAGAGACCCUGCUUGGGCACCCUCGGGGGCUGGGUCAUAGUUGGCACUGCCCACUUGAGCCGGAUCAUCCCCGGCAGCACCCUCGGGGGCUGGGCAGUGGCUUACACUCUUCACCCGAGCUAAGUCAUCCCCGACGACAUCCUCGGGGGCUGGGCAUGUGUCAGCACCAUUCUUGAGGUCCAGGCUCUCCGCAGUAACCACCUCUAAGGUUGACGGGCCUUCAGCCACUUCCAUGGGACCAGGACAAUCCAAGUCAGCAUCCCGACCCUCGAGAUCACGCUCUAAGGUCGACGAGGCACGGGAUGACCUCAACCCAGCAUCAGGCACGGCAGCGCAAGCCUCCGUUGCAUCAUCAUCCACUGGCUCUGAUAGCAAGUCCUCUGGGACCAUAUCCUCAAGAGUUUGAUCAAAGUUGGCCAGGGACAGUUCUUGCAGACCAAUGAGGGCAGACAAAGCAGGAGAAGGAACUCCACUACUUUCACCGCUGGCGAUGAACUGCCGACUGUUUUUCCGAGUUAAAGGAGCCUCAUUUUCUUCCUCCUCAUCUUCCACAGUGACAACACAAGCAACACACCCAUUGGGAUCAGCAACAGACGGAGCACCCACAUUGGGGUCAGUAGCAGUUUGGGUACACCCAUUGGGGUCAGCGUCAGUAAGUCCAGUCGCAGGCACUUCUUCAGUAGCAGGAACUGAGGUACCAGCGUCCUCAUCAAAACUGGAUACUCGCCGGAGGCGUCUUCUUUUCUUCUUUUGCUCAUCAGCAGAAGGCUCAGGCUGAUUGGUUCGGCUAGGGCGCCUCAGGCGAGUACUGACAGGUUUCUGGACAUCCAAAGUUGUAUCAACCUCUGGAAGGGGCACCACUGCCAACGUACCAGCAGGAGCAGCGUCGGAGGAAUCCUCAGCUAGCAGAUCAAGCAUGGCAUUUAUAUCCGCAUCACUAGGGUUCAGGGGCACCUCAAAAUGGACCUGUCGUUCGUCAUCAGGAAUCUCCCCAAGCGAAGCAACCAAAGUACUGACUUCUUCAGCAGACGGUCGCACUCUAAGGCCCAAAUUGCCAUCAGUCACAGGCGGAUUUGACACAAAAAGGGUGAGAGGAGGCAGGUUCCAGGCCGAGUAUGCCACUGGAGCACCAACAUUUGACACAAAAAGGGUGAAGGCUUUGGGAGGAGGCAGGUUCCAGGCCGAGUAUGCCACUGGAGCACCAACAUUUGACACCUUACCCCUGAGGAUCAUUUCAAGUCGGCUUUCCAAGUCUACAGAAGGAAUUCUCCUAUUGGUAACCCGAGUUGAGUCGGCUAGCCCUCGAUACAGAUAUGCUGGAUAGGCCCUGUCUUUCAGUGGCUGAAUGUUCUUGAAAACAAAGUCAGCGACCACAGCUUCAGCAGUUAGACCUCUCUCUUUCAGCAGUCCAACUUCAGUUAGCAACACACCUGCCUCAGCCACUUCCUGAUCUGUGGGAGACUCGGUCCAGCUCGGAGUGCGAACGUCUGGCUGUCUUUGAGAGCACCUAGAGGGGGGGGGGUGAAUAGGUGAUCCUGUAAAACUUAAACUUAUAGCCACAAAAAAACUUGUUAAGUGUUAGCACAAUUAUUGCCAAGUGGCUAGAGAGGAGUCAAAACACAAUAACCACAAGAAAGCAAUCACAGAGAUGACACGGUGGUUAUCCCGUGGUUCGGCCAAGUACAAAACUUGCCUACUCCACGUUGUGGCGUCCCAACGGACGAGAGUUGCACUCAACUCCUCUCAAGUGAUCCAAUGAUCAACUUGAAUACCACGGUGUUCUUCUUUUCUUUGCUCUUUUCCCGUUUGCGAGGAAUCUCCACAACUUGGAGUCUCUCGCCCUUACAAUUGAGUUUCACAAAGAAGCACGGAGUAAGGGAGGGAAGCAACACACACGAAUCCACAGCAAAAUGCGCACACACACGGCCAAGAAUCGAGCUCAAAAGACUAUCUCAAAAUUCUCACUAGAACGGAACUCGAAUCACUUAGAAUGACAAACGAAUGCGCAAGGACUGAGUGUGGAUGAUCAAGAUUGCUCUAAGGUUGCUUGGUAUUCUCCUCCAUGCGCCUAGGGGUCCCUUUUAUAGCCCCAAGGCAGCUAGGAGCCGUUGAGAACAAAUCUGGAAGGCCAUCCUUGCCUUCUGUCGUCGGGUGCACCGGACAGUCCGGUGCACACCGGACACUGUCCGGUGCCCGAUUUCUUUCCUUAAACAGUCCAGUCGACCGUUGCCGACCGUUGCAGAUCUGGCGCACCGGACAGUCCGGUGCACACCGGACAGUCCGGUGCACACCGGACAGUCCGGUGCACACCGGACAGUCCAGUGCUCCCUCCCGACCGUUGGCCAGGCCACGUGUCGCGCGCAGAUUCUUCGGCCGACCGUUGGCUCGGCCGACCGUUGGCUCACCGGACAGUCCGGUGCACACCGGACAGUCCGGUGAAUUUUAGCCGUACGCCGUCGGCAAAUUCCCGAGAGCGGCGUCUUCGGAUCAAGGCAGCCUGGCGCACCGGACACUGUCCGGUGCAUCACCGGACAGUCCGGUGCCCCAGACCGAAACAUCCUGUUGGCUGUACACAGCCAACAUUCUCCUUUUCUUCUUCUCUCUGUUUCUAACACUUAGACAAAUAUAUUAGUACACAAAACCAAUGUACUAAGACUUAGAAACAUACCUUUACUUGUGAUUUGCACCUUGUUCAUCCAUGGGCAUAGAUUUAUAUUUAAGCACUUGUGUUGGCACUUAAUCACCAAAAUACUUAGAAAUGGCCCAAAGGCACAUUUCCCUUUCAAUCUCCCCCUUUUUGGUGAUUUAUGCCAACACAACAUAAAGCAACAAGAACAAGUGCAAAAUCACUUCAAAUAGAACUCAAAUCUAUUUUGAUUCAUUUUUGGCAUAUAUGGAUCAUCCUUUGCCACCACUUGGUUUGUUUUUGCAAAUCAAACUCAAAUCUCUAUCUCUAAGUCAAACACACAUGUUGAAGCAUAAAGAGAGUCAUUCCAAAAGAGAUUGAUCAAAGAUUUCAAAAACUCCCCCUAUUUCCCAUAAUCAUUACUUCUCCCCACAAGAAAUCAACUUUUGACAAAUGAGACAAAAAAAGAGAGUUUUGACAAAACAAAAAGCUCUAUUUCACUAUUUUCAAAAUUUCUCAAGUGGUAGCUGAUCCAUUUAUUGCUUUGGCCUUUAUUUUCUCCCCCUUUGGCAUCAAGCACCAAAACGGAAUCAACUUUGGCCCUUUAACCCCAUUGCCUCACCAAAAUCUUCAAUAAGAAUACAAAGGCAAUAAGAGUACGUGAGAUGAACUUGGAAUAAGUUACCCUCUCAUCGGAGUGCAGUGGAAGUCUUUCAUGGUCCAAGUUCACCUUUUUCCUUUCAAUCCUUCUUUGAGACUAAAUCAAGCAAGCUCAAGCAUAUGGUUAGUCUCAAAGGGUCAAGUUGUAACACAGCUCCCCCUAAACAUGUGCAUCACUUUGCAACGGACUUGUGAGGUCCAGGGAGUGUUUGUACAACUUGGGCACCAAAAUAAACAACAAAAUGCAGAAUGAACAUGAUCAAAGGCAUAAACACAUGUAUGCUACAAUUCAAUCCAAGUUCCGCGAAUCUAAGACAUUUAGCUCACUACGCAGCCUGCAAAAGGUCUUCUCAUCUAGAGGCUUGGUAAAGAUAUUGGCUAGCUGGUUCUCGGUGCUAACAUGAAACACUUCGAUAUCUCCCUUUUGCUGGUGGUCUCUCAAAAAGUGAUGCCGGAUGUCUAUGUGCUUUGUGCGGCUGUGCUCAACAGGAUUUUCCGCCAUGCGGAUAGCACUCUCAUUAUCACAUAGGAGUGGGACUUUGCUCAGAUUGUAGCCAAAGUCCCGGAGGGUUUGCCUCAUCCAAAGUAGUUGCGUGCAACACUGUCCUGCGGCAAUGUACUCGGCCUCAGCGGUGGAUAGGGCAACGGAAGUUUGUUUCUUAGAGUUCCACGACACCAGGGACCUUCCUAAGAAUUGGCACGUCCCCGAUGUACUCUUCCUAUCGACCUUGCAUCCAGCAUAGUCGGAAUCUGAGUAUCCAACUAAGUCAAAGGUAGACCCCUUUGGAUACCAUAGCCCGAAGCAAGGCGUAGCAACUAAAUAUCUAAGGAUUCGCUUCACCGCCACUAAGUGACAUUCCUUAGGAUCGGAUUGAAAUCUAGCACACAUGCAUACGCUAAGCAUAAUAUCCGGUCUACUAGCACAUAAAUAAAGCAAAGAACCUAUCAUGGACCGGUAUGCUUUUUGAUCAACGGACUUACCUCCUUUGUUGAGGUCGGUGUGCCCGUCGGUUCCCAUCGGAGUCUUUGCGGGCUUGGCGUCCUUCAUCCCAAACCGCUUUAGCAGAUCUUGCGUGUACUUCGUUUGGGAGAUGAAGGUGUCGUCCUUGAGUUGCUUCACUUGGAACCCAAGGAAGUAGUUCAACUCGCCCAUCAUCGACAUCUCGAAUUUCUGCGUCAUCACCCUGCUAAACUCUUCACAAGACUUUUGGUUAGUGGAACCAAAUAUUAUGUCAUCGACAUAAAUUUGGCACACAAACAAAUCACCAUCACAUGUCUUUGUAAAAAGAGUUGGAUCGGCUUUCCCAACCUUAAAAGCAUUAACAAUUAGAAAGUCUCUAAGGCAUUCAUACCAUGCUCUUGGGGCUUGCUUAAGUCCAUAGAGCGCCUUAGAGAGCUUACACACAUGGUCGGGGUACCGUUCAUCCUCGAAGCCAGGGGGUUGCUCCACGUACACUUCCUCCUUGAUUGGCCCGUUGAGGAAAGCGCUCUUCACAUCCAUUUGGAAUAACCUGAAAGAAUGGUGAGCGGCAUAUGCUAGCAAGAUACGAAUAGACUCUAGCCUAGCCACAGGAGCGAAGGUCUCCUCAAAGUCCAAACCUGCGACUUGGGCAUAACCUUUUGCCACAAGUCGAGCCUUGUUCCUUGUCACCACUCCGUGCUCGUCUUGUUUGUUACGGAACACCCACUUGGUUCCCACAACAUUUUGCUUAGGACGAGGCACCAGUGUCCAAACUUCAUUCCUCUUGAAGUUAUUGAGCUCCUCUUGCAUGGCCAACACCCAGUCCGGAUCUAGCAGGGCCUCUUCUACCCUGAAAGGCUCAAUAGAAGAGACAAAGGAGUAAUGUUCACAAAAAUUAACUAAUCGAGACCGAGUAGUUACUCCCUUGCUAAUGUCACCCAGAAUUUGGUCGAUGGGAUGAUCCCUUUGAAUCACCGCUCGAACUUGGGUUGGAGGUGCCGGUUGCGCUUCUUCCUCCAUCACAUGAUCAUCUUGUGCUCCCCCUUGAUCACAUGCCUCCUGUUGAUGAACCUGUUCAAUGUCUUGAGUUGAGGGAUGCACCAUAGUUGAGGAAGAAGGUUGAUCUCGUUCAUCUUGUUCCUUUGGCCGAACUUCUCCAAUCGCCAUGGUUCGUAUAGCGGCCGUCGGAACAUCUUCUUCAUCUACAUCAUCACAAUCAACAACUUGCUCUCUUGGAGAGCCAUUAGUCUCAUCAAAUACAACGUCGCUAGAGACUUCAACCAAACCCGAUGAUUUGUUGAAGACUCUAUACGCCUUUGUAUUUGAGUCAUAACCUAACAAAAACCCUUCUACAGCUUUGGGAGCAAAUUUAGAAUUUCUACCCUUCUUCACUAGAAUGUAGCACUUGCUCCCAAAUACACGAAAGUAGGAUACAUUGGGUUUGUUACCGGUUAGUAGCUCAUACGACGUCUUCUUGAGGAGGCGAUGAAGGUAGACCCUGUUGAUGGCGUGGCAAGCCGUGUUCACGGCUUCCGUCCAAAAGCACUCGGGGGUCUUGUACUCUCCUAGCAUCGUCCUCGCCAUAUCGUUGAGCGUCCUGUUCUUCCUCUCUACCACACCAUUUUGCUGUGGUGUGUAGGGAGCGGAGAACUCGUGCUUGAUCCCUUCCUCUUCAAGGAACUCCUCCACUUGAAGGUUCUUGAACUCGGACCCGUUGUCGCUCCUUAUCUUCUUCACCUUGAGCUCAAACUCAUUUUGAGCUCUCCUGAGGAAGCGCUUGAGGGUCCCUUGGGUUUCAGACUUAUCCUGCAAAAAGAACACCCAAGUGAAGCGGGAAAAGUCAUCAACAAUAACUAGACCAUACUUACUCCCUCCUAUGCUCAGAUAGGCGACGGGUCCGAAGAGGUCCAUAUGCAGCAGCUCCAGGGGUCUUGAAGUGGUCAUCACAUUCUUGAUGUGAUGUGCUCCUCCCACUUGUUUACCUGCUUGACAAGCUGCACAAGGUCUAUCUUUUUCGAAUUGAACGUUAGUCAAACCUAUCACGUGUUCUCCCUUUAGAAGCUUGUGAAGGUUCUUCAUCCCCACAUGUGCUAAGCGGCGAUGCCACAGCCAACCCAUGCUAGUCUUAGCUAUUAAGCAUGCAUCAAGACCGGCCUCUUCUUUUGCAAAAUCAACUAAAUAAAGUUUGUCGUCUAAUACUCCCUUAAAAGCUAGUGAACCAUCACUUCUUCUAAAGACAGACACAUCUAUAUUUGUAAAUAGACAGUUAUACCCCAUGUUGCACAAUUGACUAACAGAUAGCAAAUUAUAACCAAGAGACUUUACUAGAAACACAUUAGAAAUUGAGUGCUCAUUUGAAAUUGCAAUUUUACCUAACCCUUUUACCUUGCCUUGAUUCCCAUCACCGAAUACAAUUGAAUCUUGGGAAUCCUUAUUUUUGACGUAGGAGGUGAACAUCUUCUUCUCCCCCGUCAUAUGGUUUGUGCAUCCGCUGUCGAUAAUCCAGCUUGAACCCCCGGAUGCAUAAACCUGCAAGGCAAAUUUAGGCUUGGGUCUUAGGUACCCAACUCAUGUUGGGUCCUACAAGGUUAGUGCAAAUAUCCUUAGGGACCCAAAUGCAAGUUUUGUCUCCCUUGCAUUUUGCCCCUAACUUCCUAGCAACAAUUUUCUUAUCCUUUCUACAAAUAGCAAAGGAAGCAUUUAAAGCACAAUAAAUUGUAGAAGGUUCAUUCACUACUUUCCUAGGAGCAUUAUGAACAACAUUUCUCCUAGGCACAUUUCUACCAUGCAUAACAUGAGAACUAGAAGCAGUCAUAGCAUAAGAGUCAUAAGCAUGUGAAUCAAAACCAUCAUGACCUCUAAAAGCAUUUCUAGAAUAUCUCCUAUCAUAGUAUAUGAAAGCAUGAUUCUUCUUAACACUAUUAGCCAUAGGAGCCUUCCCUUUCUCCUUGGUGGAGAUGGGAGUCUUAUGGCUUGUUAAGUUCUUGGCUUCCCUCUUGAAGCCAACCCCAUCCUUAAUUGAGGGGUGUCUACCAAUAGUGUAGGCAUCCCUUGCAAAUUUUAGUUUUUCAAAUUCACUCUUGCUAGUCUUAAGUUGGGCAUUAAGACUAGCCAAUUCAUCAUUCAAUUUUGAAAUGGAGACUAAGUGUUCACUACAGGCAUUAAUAUCAACAUCCUUACACCUAGUGCAAAUUUCAACAUGUUCAACACAAGAGUUGGAUUUAUUUGCUUCUACUAGUUUAGCAUUUAAGUCAUCAUUAAUGCUCUUUAAGUUAGAAAUAGAAUCAUGACAUGUUGAUACUUCACAAGCAAGCAUUUCAUUCCUCUUAAUUUCUAAUGCAAGGGAUUUUUGAGCCUCUACAAACUUAUCAUGUUCUUCAUACAACAAAUUCUCUUGCUUUUCUAGAAGUAUAUUCUUUUCAUUCAAGGCAUCAAUUAAUUCAUUAAUUUUGUCUAUCUUAGAUCUAUCUAAGCUCUUGAACAAACAUGAAUAAUCUACUUCAUCCUCAUCACUAGAUUCGUCCUCACUUGAAGAAGCAUAGGUAGAGUUGCGAGUACAUACCUUCUUCUCCCUUGCCAUAAGGCAUGUGUGACGCUCGUUGGGGAAGAGGGAUGACUUGUUGAAGGCGGUGGCGGCGAGUCCUUCAUUGUCGGAGUCGGAGGAGGAGCAGUCCGAGUCCCACUCCUUUCCGAUGUGUGCCUCGCCCUUGGCCUUCUUGUAAUGCUUCUUCUUCUCUCUUUUGUUCCCUUGGUCCUGAUCACUAUCAUUUUCGGGACAGUUAGCAAUAAAAUGACCAAGCUUACCGCAUUUGAAGCAUGAGCGCUUCCCCUUUGUCUUGGUCUUGCUUGGCUGCCCCUUUUGACCCUUUAGCACCGACUUGAAGCGUUUGAUGAUGAGAGCCAUCUCUUCAUCAUUAAGUCCGGCCGCCUCAAUUUGUGCCACCUUGCUAGGUAGCGCCUCCUUGCUCCUUGUUGCUUUGAGAGCAAGAGGUUGCGGCUCGUUGAUCGGUCCAUUCAAGGCGUCGUCCACGUACCUUGCUUCCUUAAUCAUCAUUCGCCCGCUGACGAAUUUUCCUAGGACUUCUUCGGGCAACAUUUUGGUGUACCUGGGAUUCUCACGAAUAUUAUUCACCAAAUGAGGAUCAAGAACGGUAAAGGACCUUAGCAUUAGGCGGACGACGUCGUGGUCCGUCCAUCGCGUGCUUCCAUAGCUCCUUAUCUUGUUGACAAGGGUCUUGAGCCGGUUGUACGUUUGGGUUGGCUCCUCCCCCCUUAUCAUAGCGAAUCUCCCAAGUUCGCCCUCCACCAACUCCAUUUUGGUGAGCAAGGUAGCGUCAUUUCCCUCAUGAGAGAUCUUGAGGGUAUCCCAGAUUUGCUUGGCGUUAUCCAAGCCACUUACUUUGUUAUAUUCAUCCCUGCACAAUGAAGCUAGAAGAACAGUAGUAGCUUGUGCAUUCUUAUGGAUUUGCUCAUUAAUGAAUAUAGGACUAUCCGAACUAUUAAAGUGCAUUCCACUAUCUACAAUCUCCCAUAUACUAGGAUGGAGAGAGAAUAGGUGACUACGCAUUUUGUGGCUCCAAAAUCCGUAGUCCUCCCCAUCAAAGUGUGGGGGCUUGCCGAGUGGAAUGGAAAGCAAAUGUGAAUUUGAACUUUGCGGAAUACGAGAGUAGUCAAAGGAAAAGUUAGAAUUAACCGGUUUCCUUUGCUCGUGGUCGUUGUGGUCGUCGUCCUUUUGGGAAGAAGUAGACUCAUCACUGUCGUCGUAGUAGACGAUCUCCUUGAUGCGCCUCGUCUUCUUCUUCUUCCCUUCCUUUCGUCUAUGACCCGAGCCGGAGUCGGUAGGCUUGUCAUCUUUGAGCUCAUUGACGAAGGACUCCUUCUCCUUAUCGUUGAUCACGAUUCCCUUCCCCUUAGGAUCCAUCUCUUCGGGCGGCUAGUCCCUUUCUUGAAGAGAAUGGCUCCGAUACCAAUUGAGAGCACCUAGAGGGGGGGGUGAAUAGGUGAUCCUGUAAAACUUAAACUUAUAGCCACAAAAAAAACUUGUUAAGUGUUAGCACAAUUAUUGCCAAGUGGCUAGAGAGGAGUCAAAACACAAUAACCACAAGAAAGCAAUCACAGAGAUGACACGGUGGUUAUCCCGUGGUUCGGCCAAGUACAAAACUUGCCUACUCCACGUUGUGGCAUCCCAACGGACGAGAGUUGCACUCAACUCCUCUCAAGUGAUCCAAUGAUCAACUUGAAUACCACGGUGUUCUUCUUUUCUUUGCUCUUUUCCCGUUUGCGAGGAAUCUCCACAACUUGGAGUCUCUCGCCCUUACAAUUGAGUUUCACAAAGAAGCACGGAGUAAGGGAGGGAAGCAACACACACGAAUCCACAGCAAAAUGCGCACACACACGGCCAAGAAUCGAGCUCAAAAGACUAUCUCAAAAUUCUCACUAGAACGGAACUCGAAUCACUUAGAAUGACAAACGAAUGCGCAAGGACUGAGUAUGGAUGAUCAAGAUUGCUCUAAGGUUGCUUGGUAUUCUCCUCCAUGCGCCUAGGGGUCCCUUUUAUAGCCCCAAGGCAGCUAGGAGCCAUUGAGAACAAAUCUGGAAGGCCAUCCUUGCCUUCUGUCGUCGGGUGCACCGGACAGUCCGGUGCACACCGGACACUGUCCGGUGCCCGAUUUCUUUCCUUAAACAGUCCAGUCGACCGUUGCCGACCGUUGCAGAUCUGGCGCACCGGACAGUCCGGUGCACACCGGACAGUCCGGUGCUCCCUCCCGACCGUUGGCCAGGCCACGUGUCGUGCGCAGAUUCUUCGGCCGACCGUUGGCUCGGCCGACCGUUGGCUCACCGGACAGUCCGGUGCACACCGGACAGUCCGGUGAAUUUUAGCCGUACGCCGUCGGCAAAUUCCCGAGAGCGGCGUCUUCGGAUCAAGGCAGCCUGGCGCACCGGACACUGUCCGGUGCAUCACCGGACAGUCCGGUGCCCCAGACCGAAACAUCCUGUUGGCUGUACACAGCCAACAUUCUCCUUUUCUUCUUCUCUCUGUUUCUAACACUUAGACAAAUAUAUUAGUACACAAAACCAAUGUACUAAGACUUAGAAACAUACCUUUACUUGUGAUUUGCACCUUGUUCAUCCAUGGGCAUAGAUUUAUAUUUAAGCACUUGUGUUGGCACUUAAUCACCAAAAUACUUAGAAAUGGCCCAAAGGCACAUUUCCCUUUCAGUCUUCCCGACCGGGAGGGGAGAGAAUUUCCAUAAUUAUCAACUAUGAACCACUCUAGACGCCACCCCUUAAUACUGUCCUUGAGGGGAAUCUCAAGAUACUCAGUUUUCCGCCCGCGGCGCAUCUCCAAACUGGCACCUCCGACCAACCGAUGUUGUCCCCCGGCCAUCCCAGGGCGACAAUGAUACAAAUACUUCCAUAAACCGAAAUGCGGCAGCACGCCAAGAAAGGCUUCGCAUAAGUGAACGAAAAUGGAGAUUUGCAGAAUGGAAUUAGGGUUCAAAUGGGUCAAGUUAAUGUGGUAGAAAUCAAGGAGGCCGCGGAAAAAGGGAGAGAUGGGAAGGCCGAGGCCGCGGAGAAGAAAAGGAGCGUAAACUACAAACUCGUGGGUAUCCUCUGUCGGGACAGUAGUCCCGUGGCAAAUCCGCCAAGAACAGAGUUCCCGCGGAGGAAGAACCCCGAUGGAUACGAGGUGGAGAAGUUCAGCUUCGGAAAUGAUGGACAUAUGGUUACCUGCGAAAGGCAACUGGCUGUUGGGGUCGAUUGGAGGGAUCACCGCAGCAGACGAGCUCGUAGUUUUCCUCUUGGGCGCCAUCUCGAUUUCACCAGCGAACAGAGUAGGAGGCGAAUGGCAGAGAGGAUUCGGAAGCGGGAAUGCAAGAACUAGGGCACGGAAAGCAAAGGCGGCUAAAAGCGCAGCUCUUAUGGGAUAUUCUCGAGCCAGAUACCGUUUCAAAAAGUGCCCAGUCAUCACCCGGCGGUUAUUUCCAAAACCCCAGCAUGCCACGUGGUCAUCCGGCAGUUAUUUCCAAAAAGCCGAUGCGCCACCUCAUUACUCGGUUAUCAUCCUCAAAAUAGCUCAUGUGGCCUGCUAUCACUCGGCGUUGACUCUAAAACGCUGAUUUCAUAUUCAGUCGCUCGGCAUUACCUCUAAAAUGCCGACGUCACCAUCCAGUCACUCGGCGUUGACUCUAAAACGCUGAUUUCAUAUUCAGUUGCUCGGCAUUACCUCUAAAAAGCCGAUGCCGACCUCCAGUCACUCAGUGUUGCCUCUAAAACGCUGUUUUCGUAUUCGGUCGCUCGGCAUUACCUUUAAAAUGCCGACAUCACCCUCCAGUCACUCGGCGUUGCCUCUAAAACGCUGAUCUCGUGUUCAAUCGCUCGGCAUUACUUCUAAAAUGCCGACGUCUACCUUCAAUCACUCGGCGUUGCCUCUAAAACGCUGAUCUCGUGUUCGAUCGCUCGGCAUUACUUCUAAAAUGCCGACGUCGACCUUCAAUCACUCGGCGUUGCCUCUAAAACGCUGAUCUCGUGGUCAGUUGCUCGGCAUUACUUCUAAAAUGCCGACAUCGCUUUUCAAUCACUCGGCGGUGUUUUAAAACGCUGAUUUCAUAUUCAGUCGCUCGGCAUUACCUCUAAAAAGCCGAUGCCGACCUCCAGUCACUCGGUGUUGCCUCUAAAAUGCCGACACCGACUACAAGAUUACUCGGCACCUACUUCUGGAAGCGUCAGUGUGAUGCCCAAGUUAUUCAUCCACUGUUUCAAAAGAAUCAGUUUUAUAAUCAAGCAAAGCGAGUCAUCAAGAAGAAGCCAACGUCAUUCUUUCAUUAAGGGAAGACAAUAAGCUUACAAAUCAACUCCUUGCGAGUUGAUGCUUCCCUACUAUUACUAUAUUACAUUACUACUACUACUAUACUACGCUAUACUACUCUACAUUACUACUACAUUAUUCUAACUACACUAUACUAAUAUCCAAAGACCAGUGGCGUUUAGCCACUGGCCUUGCUGCUGCUUCCACCGCCGCCGACCCUGGUGCUGCCCUUGCUGCUGCCGCCUCUGGUGCUGCCCUUGCUCCCGUCGCCGCCGCCGCUGCCCCCGCCGCUGCCUCUACCGUCACCGUCGCCGUCGCCACCGUCGCCGUCGUCGCCGUCGUCGUCGUCGUCAUCCUCGUCCUCGCCGCCGUCCGAGUCCUCCUCAUCCGAGGAGUACUCCAACUCAUUCGAGCCCUCGAGCCCGGAGCGCUCGACGGCCCGGAUGUACGUCCAGACUUCCGCGGCAAUCCCCUGGGAGUCGUCUGAAUCAUCAGACGACGCCGGGGGAGAGACGGGAGCCGGAGACCCCUCGGACUCGGAGGAGAACUCCUCCUCCGAGUAUUCCGAGUCGCCGAAGUCCUCCGACGGAGGAGUCGGCUCGCGCUUGCGUUUGUUACUCUUGCCCAUGGCGGAAGCAGACGGGAGAGAAGAGAAGGAUGCAGUAAAGAACAGAGAAGAGAAGGAUGCAGUAAAGAACAGCGAAGAGAUGUGAAAAAACCAGAGGGGCAACGACGUUAUUUAUAGAAGGGAAAGGCAACCGCUCACCUCCAACUGCGGUCACUGAACAGUCGCAAAGCAUUCAAUAAGCACUUCCACCCGUCUGAAGACACGUCAGGCGGCUGACGCCGUUUCAUGCAACACUACACCCAUUGGGACUCCAGUCAACAGCGCAGAGGAUAUGAUUACACUCGCCGUCCCAUCACAUUACUACUCAGAAGCAGCCGGCUAAAACACUCAGCGUACCAAGCCGUCCCUUGCCCACACCCAUUGGGGGGGACGCCCAGGAAUUAUCAGUAUAUUUUUCAAAACGGUCACAUCUGUGCAGGGCACGCAGUGAAUGCCUCAAGACAAAAAUGAGAUAUCAGUAAGGAUCAGAGGAAAGCCAAAUAUAGCCAGCGAAGUACAACAUAUGGCCGACAGAAGCGACGUGAAGACUAGACAGAGAACGUCCAUCAAACAUCCAAUCAGUCGCAGAAGCAAAUAAAUUGCACUACCUAUCAAGAUAUGGAUGGAUUGCAAACUCGGCUGCUAAAGACAAAAUAUAUGCUGACCUCUGCAGCAAAAUAUUAAUGACAUAAUGCUGACCUCCAAAGCAUAAUGCAAAUAGCUUCAUGCCAAUUUCUACAAACGAAAGGGAUAAUUUUCAGCAAAGAGGCACGAAAGAAAGACCUUCGAAUGGAUUAUCCUUAAAAAAUCCAUUUGAAGGUCGGGGGCUACACCCAUUGGGUGCACCUCCGGUGCACCCCAUGGAUUAUCAUUCCAAACCGAGAUAGUGCCGACUUCUAAGGCAUAGGACAAGAUUAAAAGACCAACCCUCAACCAAGAUGCAGGAGCACAAAUGGAGAUAAUUUCUGGGGAAGACCUUCGAGUAGAUUAUUUUCUAAAAUCUACUCAAAGCUCGGGGGCUACACCCAUUGGGUGCACCUCCGGUGCACCCAAUGAAGUUCAGAAUCCUACAAAUUGAAAUACCGACCUCUAAGGCACAAGCAUGAAACUAAGCUUCGGUCAAAUGAGUGAUCGGAGCAAGAGAAGACAGCAGGAAGUCAUUUUUCUUCAAAACACCCGCAAGUUGGACCUGGGAUCUUUGGGCUGAUUACCUCUAAAUUAACCCAAAGAUCGGGGGCUUGUGGGGGAUAGAUAUCCCCCGGGUCCACUAAAGGAGUAAAAGACCUCACGAAAGGCCCAAGGGCCCCAUAAAUCGUAGGGUCAUUCUUUCGUGGGCCUGGGGAGAAACAACCAACAAAGCAGAGCGACGUGAGACCGGAUUGGUGCAAACCCGGACGACCCACAACGUCGAGCGAGUAAAUCGCAACAGAGAUCCGACUUUCCCGCGCUGAAGCCCCCAUGCAACGGAGCCAUGCGAGGAUAAGUCGGCGAGGGUUACGUAGGGAUAAACUCAAGAGGUUCACUACCUUUUAGCUACUUGUUGUUAUCAUAUCCAUGUGUACUGCCCCACGGUCGAGUAUAUAAGGCCUAGGGGGCACCCCUUCAGAUCGAUCGACCCUAUCUUACUUAGCCACCCACAUCAACUUUCUGUAUCUUCAAUCCAGAGAGCCCUCUUGUAACCACGCUCAUCAAGCAAAUUCACCAGGACGUAGGGUGUUACGCAUCUCUAAGCGGCCCGAACCUGUAAAUCUUGUCCACUGUCCCUCGUGUGAUCGGCACGAACCAUUUUGCUACAGUCGUCGACACCGUCCUACUCCUAGAAACACCUUGAGGGGCAACCCCGGGUGUGCGGUCGGACCCAAAACACCGACAGUGGCGAUGCAAGAGGAGCUCAACAACUUCACUAGGAAUGAGGUAUGACAUUUAGUUCCACGUCCUAAUCAAAAUGUUGUAGGAACCAAGUGGGUCUUCUGCAACAAGCAAGAUGAGCAUGGUGUGGUGACAAGGAACAAAGCCCGACUUGUGGCCAAGGGAUAUUCACAAGUCGAAGGUUUGGAUUUUGGUGAAACCUAUGCACCCGUAGCUAGGCUUGAGUCAAUUCGCAUAUUACUUGCCUAUGCUACUUACCAUGGCUUUAAGCUUUAUCAAAUGGACGUGAAAAGUGCCUUCCUCAAUGGACCAAUCAAGGAAGAGGUAUAUGUUGAGCAACCUCCCGGCUUUGAAGAUAGUGAGUAUCCUAAUCACGUUUAUAAACUCUCUAAGGCGCUUUAUGGGCUCAAGCAAGCCCUAAGAGCAUGGUAUGAAUGCCUAAGAGAUUUUCUUAUCACUAAUGGCUUCAAAGUCGGAAAGGUCGAUCCUACUCUAUUCACUAAAACUCUUGACAAUGAUUUGUUUGUAUGCCAAAUUUAUGUUGAUGAUAUUAUAUUUGGGUCUACUAACGAAUCUACAUAUGAAGAAUUUAGUAGGAUCAUGACACAAAAUUCGAGAUGUCGAUGAUGGGGGAGUUGAAGUACUUCUUAGGAUUUCAAGUGAAGCAACUCCAAGAGGGCACCUUCAUUAGCCAAACGAAGUAUAUUCAAGAUAUUCUAACCAAGUUUGGAAUGAAGGAUGCCAAACCCAUCAAGACACCCAUGGGAACCAAUGGGCAUCUCGACCUCGACACGGGAGGUAAAUCCGUCGACCAAAAGGUAUGUCGGUCGAUGAUAGGUUCAUUACUCUAUUUAUGUGCAUCUCGACCGGACAUUAUGCUUUCCGUAUGCAUGUGUGCAAGAUUCCAAGCCAACCCUAAGGAAGCUCACUUUACGACCGUAAAACGAAUCUUGAGAUAUUUAGUUCAUACUCCUAAGUUUGGGCUUUGGUACCCUCAGGGAUCCACAUUUGAUUUAAUUGGUUAUUCGGAUGCCAAUUGGGUGAGGUGUAAAAUCAAUAGAAAGAGCACAUCGGGGACUUGCCAGUUCUUGGGAAGAUCCUUGGUGUAUUGGGCUUCAAAGAAGCAAAAUUCCGUAGCUCUUUCUACCGCCGAAGCCGAGUAUAUUGCCGCAGACCAUUGUUGCGCGCAAUUACUUUGGAUGAGGCAAACCCUUAGGGACUAUGGUUACAAAUUAACCAAAGUUCCUCUUCUAUGUGAUAAUGAGAGUGCAAUCCGCAUGGCAGAUAAUCCCGUUGAGCAUAGCCGCACUAAACACAUAGCCAUUCGGUAUCAUUUUCUUAGGGAUCACCAACACAAGGGAGAUAUCGAGAUUGCAUAUAUUAAUACUAAAGAACGAUUAGCCGAUAUCUUUACCAAGCCACUAGAUGAACAAACUUUUAACAAACUUAGGCAUGAGCUAAAUAUUCUUGAUUCUAGGAAUUUAUUUUGAUGUUUUGCACACUUAGCUCAUAAAUAUACCUUUGAUCAUGUCUAUUUUCUAUGCUAUGACUAAUGUGUUUUCAAGUAUAUUUCAAAUCAAGUCAUAGAUUGAAAGGGAAUUCGAGUCUUCGGCGAAGACAAAGGCUUCCACUCCACUCCAUCGAAUCACUCAUCCUUCGGCGUCGCUCCGAGCAACUCUUCGUCUUUGGUAUAAUCUUCACUCAUAUGUUAUUUACCAAAGGGGGAGAAAGUAGUUUAGGAGGGCUUAUAUUUCACUCUUGUAUCCGUUUUUGGCGAUUCAUGCCAAAGGGGGAGAAGGUAUCAGCCCAAAGCAAAAGGACCGCACCACCACCGAUUUCAAAAAUAUGUUCAAAUGAUGAAAUUUUUCAAGUAAUAUCUUAUUGUUUUCAAAAUGGGGAGAAAGUAGUAUUUUCAACUUGGUAUCUUAUUAUUUAUAUAAUUUCAAAUUGGUACACCCUCUUCAAAAACUAAUAUCUUAAAACCCUCUUGAACACUAAGAGGAGGAUUUUAUUAAGCGGGAGUUUUGUUUAGUCAAAGGAAAAACAUUUGAAAUAGGGGGAGAAAAUUUUAAAUCUUGAAAAUGCUUCUCAAAAAUCUUAUUCAUUUACCUUUGACCAUUUGCAAAAGGACUUUGAAAAGAAUUUACAAAAAAUUGCAAAAACAAAACAUGCGGUGUAAACGAGGUCCAAAAUGUUAAAAAGAAACAAUUCAUGCAUAUCCUAUAAGAAUUUAUAUUGGCCCAAUUCUAAGUAACCUUUGCACUAACAUUCUGCAAACUAGUUCAAUUAUGCACUUCUACAUUUGCUUUGGUUUGUGUUGGCAUCAAUCACCAAAAAGGGGGGAGAUUGAAAGGGAAUUAGGCUUACACCUUUUCCCUAAUUGAUUUUGGUGGUUGAAUUGCCCAACACAAAUAAUUGGACUAACUAGUUUGCUCUAGUCUAUAAGUUCUACAGGUGCCAAAGGCUCACAAUAAGCCAAUAAAAAGACUAAGAAAAGGUUCAAAUAAAGAGAGCAAAAGACAAUCCAAAGGCACCCUGGUCUGGCGCAUCGACUGUCCGGUGUGCCACCGGACAGUGUCCGGUGCACCAGGGCACUCGACGCUGAACUCGCUACCUUCGGGAUUUUCAGAGGGCGCUCCGCUAUAAUUCACCGGACUGUCCGGUGCACACCGGACUGUCCGGUGUGACAGCGGAGCAACGGCUACUUCGCGCGCAACGGUCGUCUGCAACCGCAUUCAAUGCGCUACAGUGCGCGCCAGAGUCAGAGCACGCACAGUUGGCGCACCGGGCAGUCUACAGGACCUGUCCGGUGCACCACCGGACAGCCUAGAGGCCCCACAAGUCAGAACUCCAACGGUCGAACCCCAACGGCUCGCUGACGUGGCUGGCGAACCGGACUGUCCGGUGUGACAGCGGAGCAACGGCUACUUCGCGCGCAACGGUCGUCUGCAAUCGCAUUCAAUGCGCUACAGUGCGCGCCAGAGUCAGAGCACGCACAGUUGGCGCACCGGACAGUCUACAGGACCUGUCCGGUGCACCACCGGACAGCCCAGAGGCCCCACAAGUCAGAGCUCCAACGGUCGAACCCCAACGGCUCGCUGACGUGGCUGGCGCACCGGACUGUCCGGUGCGCCAUGCGACAGCAGUCUUCCAACGAUCAUUUUUGGUGGUUGGGGCUAUAAAUACCCCAACCACCCCACAUUCAAUGGCAUCCAAGUUUCUACACUUCUACACCUUACAAGAGCUAUAGCAUUCAAUACAAGACACACCAAAGAGAUCAAAUCCUCUCCCAACUCUACACAAAGCUUUAGUGAUUAGAGAGAGUGAUUUGUUGUGUUCAUUUGAGCUCUUGCGCUUGGAUUGCUUCUUUCUUUCUCCAUUCUUGUGAUCGAACUCAAUUGUAAUCAAGGCAAGAGACACCAAUUGUGUGGUGGUCCUUGCGGGGACUUUGUGUCCCGUUUUGAUUGAGAAGAAGAAGCUCACUCGGUCUGAGUGACCGCUUGAGAGAGGGAAAGGGUUGAAAGAGACCCGGUCUUCGUGACCACCUCAACGAGUAGUAGGUUUGCAAGAACCGAACCUCGAUAAAACAAAUCAUCGUGUCUCGCUCUUUAUUCGCUCACGAUUUGUUUUGCGCCCUCUCUCUCUCGGACUCGUUUCUAUUUCUAACGCUAACCCGGCUUGAAGUUGUGCUUAAGUUUGUAAAUUUCAGAUUCGCCCUAUUUACCCCCUCUAGGCGACUUUCACUAUUUAAAUAACUAUUGGAGAAACGAUUUUCCGAUUCACUUCUUAGAAUUAAGAUUUAGAGAAUUGUUUAAAGAACUAUUGAAGUUACUCUUAGUCGCCAGACGCAACUAUUUGCAAGUUGAAGACUGAAAAAAACAGAUCUGCACUAUAUAUUCAUCUGCAAGCAGCUCUAAUCUAGAUCUGAACCUUACAAUUUUUUUAAAAAAAAACAUUUAGGAGAACUCCACGGUAGAUGUACAGGGCCAGUCUGACAACCGUCCAAUUACAAGUUACAAGCCAUGAGCGAGAGCUCUUCUUUGUCUCACUGUGAUUCUGAGCCCGCGCGUCGGCCUCCUCGUCUCCUUCCUUCGCUCUCACACAAAAACUAGGGUCGAAAACAUGGCAGGGCGGUAGAACGAAAGACGAGCAGUGGGACGUCGUUGAGGAUCGUAGGCUGGACUCCCUCCCGUUUUGCUUCUGUUUACCGUCGCGUCACUUGGCGGCGAGACGUGGUAGGUUCCUCGCUCGGAUACGACCUGCUCCAGGUGCAGUACAGAUGGUCGUAGCUGGAAUCUGGCGGGUCUCCCGGUGGGCGGUGGCUAGUUGCUGGAAGUGGAUGGAACCGCCGUUUUCUCACGUGCCACAUCGGCCAGCAAGCAGCCCCCGCCGCACCCUGCAGGCAAGCGCGUGGUGACUCGCGCGGUGACUUGAACUGCAACUUGCGGGACGGGAAAUCAGAGGAUCGUCAGUGGUGGAGUGGAAUGGCCAACGGCGUGCUGUUCUCAACUUGGCGUCAUUGCGAAGCGGCCAGGUGAGGUGUUCCGGUGCCUGCCUGCGCCUGCACGGCAGCUGCAUAGCUGGUUUGGUUCCGCAUGCCUGGUCCUGGUCUCGUACGCUCGUCGGGCCCUGCGUUCUCUACCGAAAGAAACCUUUUCACCAGGGCGCUUGGUUGGUCACUCCGCUGCCUUUUCCGGGUGAUGAUCCCGGCGGAGACUCCAGUAGCAGGUCAACGGAGCUCGUGGAACGGAAUCAUCUCGUGGCUGGCUGAUCCAUUGAUCGCUUAUAGCUCCCGAGGAAAGCUUUCCUCCUUUUCACACAGGCCGGCGAGAGCCGUGUCGCACGUGGAGGAUGCACGCACGCGGGCGGCUCAUGCCAGCGACAGGCCGACGGCUGGUAGCCAUGGGCGACGCCUGCGCGCCAGGACGGAGGUCGGAGGAAGCUAGGAGCUAGCUAGGGACACCACGGCGACGGCGACGGCGACGCAGCAAAGAAGCCCUAUGCACUUGUACAGGGUGAGCAGGCCAGCACGGGCUCGACGCCUCGACGUUGCCGGAGGAUCUCGUUAAGCUGCCGCCAUUCAGUUUGGUCGCAAUCAAGGUCUUGUUUGGGAACAAAGUUUUUUAAAAAUCACAGUUUUUGAAAUACUACAGUAUACUUUAGUCAUGACAAUACCGUAGUUUACAAUACCGCAGUUUUGAAAACUGAGGUCCAGAGCUAAGUUUAGAAUGACUUAAAACAACUAUAAUAUUUGCAAUACUUCAGUUUUGAAAACAGAGAUUUUAGCUAGCUUGCCAAACACCAUUCUGUAUAUAAUACUGCAGUAUUUGAGAAUACUGCAGUAUUCUUUAAAACUGUGAAAAAAUUUCACUCCCAAACACCCCAAGCUGUAUGUAUGCAUGUACGUAACCUUUGAAACUUGCCGGGCAUGAGUAUAUAAAAGCGGUAAGCCAGAGCCAGAAAUUCCAAAUCACAGACAGUUUUCAAACAAGAAGCUUUAUUUGACAUGACAGCAAAGCAGAGUUACAGCGAAGGGGUCGGUGACACAGAGAGGAAGGGACCAGACCAUAAUACUUGCUGAUCCCCUCCUCCAGUCCUCCUGAACCUUACACAACCAAGCGCUCGACAAAACGGCACAAGCUUACACAACACACUGAUCAAACAACAGAAACUUAAGACUAACCAGCAUCACCAACCGCAGUCCCGGAGGCUCUUCCUUAAAAAACAGCAGUAACCUCCUGACAGCAGCCACUGAAACCCAAACAAAACGAGACCAGAAAGCAGCAAGACUGACCGUGGACGGAUGGAUGGACCAGCGCGUGCUCUAAUAUGGCAACCGAUCCAUCUGACCAACAGACACCCCACAAAUACUUCAAACACGGAGGAGAGAUUCACGAGAGCUUCUUUGUAAAUAUUUGGCCCUCUGCCAGCCCUCUACCGCGUGCACUAAAAUGAGCACAUGAUAGCAGCAGAGGAGCGAGGGCAUCGGGCAGGCCGCGGGCGGAAGUGAGAACGCGCGGCGCGGCUCUUCUUAUACUUCUGGGGACCGGCCGUU
rnacentral:lncRNA from 1 species